rnacentral:lncRNA from 1 species
ACUCCAUGUAGCUUUUGAUUUUGGAGGGUUUUGUUUAGGUUAAAAGUUAAACGUUCAUGUCGUCGAACGAGACUUUUUCUUUUUUACUAACGUUUUCUUAAAAGCUAGAAGUCAGAAGCUCCCAAACACUACAUGCCGAACACACCCUAUGAUACAUUUGAUGUUAAUGUAAUGUAAAAUUUGAUAUAUUUUUGAAUAACUAGUCAAGAAUGUCAUAGUAUUUCAUCACACGACUCAAAUACCUCAAUUUUAGUGGUCGAAACAACAAUGUUACAAAUUAUGAAUGCCAUUGUUAUACAUAUUGUAAGAGUAGGCCACUCUCCUUUAGUGAUAAGGUGUUUUAUAAUUUUUUAGAAAGGUAUCUCAUUUUAAAUUGAAAUUUGUAGGAUUCACAAUUUAUUUGGAGUGUUUAAUUUUCAAAUUGUCCACUAUUUGACAGACAUAAACUAGUUUAUACUCUAACUUGUCUUUUAAGUAAAAAAAACUUUUGAGUCAAUUUAUCAAUAAAUUAAGGCCCUGUUUGAUAUGCAUCUGACCGAGUCAAGUCAGACAUUUUUGGCUGACUCGGUUAGCUGAGAGUGUUUGAUUAACAAAAUUUGGGUGUCUGACUCGGUCAGCAAGGUCUAAGUGAGAAAGAGAUAGGGGGGAAGCAAAUUAAAAGAGGGCAGUGAGAAUCAAACCUAUGACCUUAUAUUCACAAAGCUGCAUCUUUUCCACUAUGCUAGAAGGUUUUUUUGUUAUAUUUGCUCAAAUAUUUUAUAUAAUAUGUAACGCUAGUUAUUAUUAUUAUUGUUAUCAUCAUCUUUAUUAUUAUUAUUAUUAUUAUUAUUAUUAUUAUUGUUAUCAUCGUCUUUAUUAUUAUUAUUACUAUUAUUAUUAUUAUUAUUACUACUACUAUUAUUAUUAUUAUCUUUAUUAUUAUUAUUAUUAUUAUUAUUAUUAUUAUUGCAUAAAAACGAAUAGCGCAUCAAGGUAAAAUAAUCAUUUUGCAUCAGUCAGCAUGUUCAGUCAGAUGUACAAUCAAACAACAUGAUUUCUUACCCAGUCGGAAUUUCUUACUGAGACAGACAUUUCUCAGUCAGCAACUAUCAAAUGGAGCCUAAGUAAUUUUUUUUCCAUAAAUUUUGUAGAUAUGCUCUUAUAUGAUAAAAUAAAUUUUCAUUUAAAAGGUAAUUCGGAUAACUUUACAUUUUACAUUAGAAGUUGAGGUACAAGUCCAUUGAAGUGAUGAUGUAAUUUAAGAUCAAAUCAAAAGUUUUUCAAAUAAAACUUUUAGGUUGAAUAACAAGUUUAAUCAUUGGUGUCCUCUUAUCAUAAAUGCUUCAUUUAGGUUGGAGGACGUUAUGCCACUUUUGCCAUACUUUUUUUUUCUACCAUGUAGACAUGAAUUCAUUUUAGCCACACCACUUACUUUUCUUGUCGUUUAAGGAGAUGGUGUGUCAUAUUACAUUCACUUUGAUUUUUUUAAAUAUUAUAAUUAAUAUAAAACUAAAACUACUAUUAAGAUAAAAAUGACAAGUAUAUGAUAAUAAAAGAUAAUGACACUUGAAAGUAAACACAGGAAAUAUAAAACAUAAAAAUAACGUCGUUAAGGCCACAUAUUGGUGCCAUUUUAUGCUUCUCUUAAGACCCUAACAACUUGCCAAAACUCUAGAUAACAUAAAGCUAUAAGUUUUUUUUGGCAGAAAAUUGCAAGAAUAUUGCUUAACAACAUUUCAUCAUUUCCCAAGUACGUCUCAAUGUAUUAAACACAACGUUAAACUAUACUCUCACUUGGUUUGUGUGUCUCCAUUUGAUAUAGAUUUGAUAUUUGCUUCAAUAGCAACAUUGACCCAUUCAAUGUGGAAUCAUUAGGUGAUUUUAAACCAAAAAGAAGACUUUUCAUAGAAUUCGAUCAUGGGGUUUUCAUGUACAUCGAUCCAUGUAUGUGUGACAUCCCGAAAUUUAGGUAUAAAACCGUGGACGGUUAAAUCACAGUGAAUCUCUUUGUAAUUUGAUUUAUCGAGUUUUAUGCAUAUUUUUAUAAAUAUACAGUGUUAUUACAACUAAAAUAUAAUAUAAAAUGAUAUCUUAUUUCCAAUUGUGAAAAAAACUCAAACGCCCUAUUAGAACUGAGUAGUCCGUCAGAAACUGAGUAACUUUCGCAUCCAUGCAACAAGCUUUAGCAUCCAUGCAACUUUCGCAUCAUGUAGCUUUCGCAUCCAUGUAGUUCGCAUCGUGUCUAUCAGUAGUUACGAUGGCUUGUGACCGUUCACAGUCAGUCGCAUCCACUCGCAACCAACAUCCUUGUUCGCACCAAUGACCCUCCAAGGUUCAGAAUUGCAUCCUAUGAUGAUGACUUGCAAUGGAUUGCAAUCGUUCGCAUCCAAUCGCAUCUAGUCGCAACGCAUCGCAAUGUCUUCCAUUCAUAAUGAAUCUCGUUUCUCUAACAAUUGUGAUGUCUUGUGACCAAUUACAUCCAGUCAUAUCCAAUCGCAACAACCCUUCUUGCAACUGAUUCCACAUUCGCAUCCAAUCACAUCCGAUCAAUCGAAGCGGGUGAUAAAUGUCUACUAUUUUUACUACGAUGUCCAAUGAAGCGUUUUAGCAGGAUACAUUCAGUCAAAUAUCUCGGUUAUAGAAUUCACUAUAAAAAUUAACUAGAAUCUCUCUCUCUUUCUCUCUCUCUCUCUCUCUCACUACAACCCAUAGACUUGAUUCUUUCAAAACUAUUUUAAUUGUGAAUUUACUUAUACAAAGAUACCUUUUGAUUUUCAAAGUUUAUUCAAAGACUCUUUACAAACAAAACUUUAAGUAUGGUUUUACUUACUAUGAAAAUGUUUUUUACACUUUUAAAAGUAUUACUGCGGUUAGCAAAAAACCUGUAAUUUCUCACCAGCCUUGUGUUGACCCUGAAAACGACAUGUAUUCUCGAGAAAUAAAUAAUCAAGCAUUCAGACGAUGGUUAGUCAUGGAUUUCAGGCAAUCUAAUUUACUAGUUUUUGUUAUGUCAGUCUACCUUUUUUUAAGGCAAUUUAUGUACUAUACUAUUAUCUGUAAGAACCAUGUAUUCAAACAUCAAGAAGGAAUACAAAUGUUGUUUUGUUUAUUGUUGUACAUGCGCUAUAUAUUCAGUUUACCUAUGAUCCAUGAACUUAGUCGCACAGCCCGACAUGUUCCGCCGCCUCGGCCGGGGUGUGACAGAUUGGUAUGAGAGCUAAAUUGGCUAUAGAGAACCCAUAUCCUCGAAAGAGGAAUACAACUAUAGCAACAAACUCCUAAUAAAAAGUAUUAUUAUUAACUACACUACUUCUUGGCUACUUACGCUACGGGGUAAUUGGUUUGAAGGGCCGCUUGGGUUUCUAGAUUCAAAACAACUUAAUUGCUAAAAUGAUUCUGCCCUACGGUGCUUCCUGUCUGGCCCUUGUCUAUACUCGAUAGUCUUGGAGUACAAAAAAAAAUAAUACUACAAACCUCACCAACAAUAAUAUAUAAGAGUUUUAUGUAUACUCUGACAUGCGAUCACUUAAAAAAAUUUAAACAUCCCUUCAAAUAAAACUACCAACUCAACCCUUUAGGUCAAACGCCUCAACUAAGAUUAGUAUCAUACAUAAGUCAUACCAAAAAUAAAUCUGGAAUGCACACCAAUGUUAUUUAUGGCCGGGCUGGUGCAUAACCAACCUUGAGCCAGGAGUUUGGAAGACUACAAUGGUUGAGAGUUGAAGAGAUUGAAGCAUGUUCUCAAGAAUCGUCGGGAAUGCUUAGUACCUUAGAAACCUGAUAUCCACCCCAAAACAAAGUAUACAUUCUAAAUCAUAAAAAUACUUAAAAAUCUGGGAUAACGUGCAUAUUUUCCUAGUUCACCUAAAUCUGAAGAACCAAUAGCUCUGCUAUCUUUAUAGAAGAGAAACCCAUAAGUUCCCAGUCAAUCACUCGAUACACUCUAACUUCUCUCUCCCAUAUCUUCCAAAAAUGAUAAGGAUAUUACCAAGGACGAACCAUCUAAAGAACCCACAAAAGAGGAGGAAUCUGAAGAAGAUAAAUUUGGGAACCACUUACUUGAGUAAUUUAGAACCACUAACUUGAGCUCGACUGUUCACACACAUCGCACCCCUUCUUCUUAAUAAAAAUCCUUUUUAAAAGUUUAACUUCAUUUUUAUUAAGAAAAACUAUCAUUUCCUCAGUUUGAGUUCCGACACACCCGAAAGUAUGCCAGAAUCCCUCAAACCAAGGUUAUGAUACCAACUUGUAACAAGCCAAAAAUAUUAAUAUUUUCUUUUUUCAUUUAAAACUAUUAAUUUCAUUCAUUGAUUGUACCAAAAGCCAUCAAUCAUUAAAAUAUUCGAAACAUCAUAGUAUAAAUAUAUCAAGUGCAGAAAUCAUAAGGGGAGGAUGUUGUGCCAUCACGCCGGUCCUUUCCCUUUUGAACUGGAAAUACCUGAAACCAUAAACAUAAACUUGUAAGCAUAAAUCUUAGUGAGUUCCCCCAAGUACCACAUACUACACCUAAAGGAAAAUAAAUGCUAUGGGCCAAAUCAUAUCCAUAUAAUAAUUUCCUGCCAUGGGCCAAACCAUGUGUAACGACCCAAAAAUCAUUCUAAGUUGUAUAACUUCAUCCUUGUGUUAAGAUCAUUCAUUCUAAUCAUUUUUGUGAUCAUACUCUUAGAAAACCUCCAUAAGUUCGAGAUCAACCCAAGAAAGCUUGCUAGGGCCGAAAAUAGCAUCAAACUCUUCCAUUUCUUCCUUCAAACCGAAACAACAAAGCAAGGUGAGUUCAUACCCCUCUAUUUUCGAUUCUCACAAGUUUUAUGGGGUAGAAUACAAGUAAAAUGUGUAGAUCUAUGUGUAUGUGUAUGUUAUGUGUGAUUUCAUGUGUUUAUGUGGUGAAUAUGUGCCAAAAAGGAAAGAAAUCUCGAGAUCUAUGGCUCAAGGAGGAAAAUAUAUGUGAUCUAGGAUGUAUUACAUUAAAAAAGUCAAGAAAAAUUAUCAUCUAAGGUUAUAAUAAACAUGUUACUACAUAAAACUCAAUUUUGGGCUAUUUUUGUCAAAUAAACAAAAGUUGGGUUAAAGGUUGUCAUUCAUGGUUUUUUUAUAAGGACCAAAAGGAUCAAAACAGUUAAAGUAGAAGUUUUUAUGAAUAUUAUGCUCUUCAAAGGACUAGAAGUGUAAAUUGUAGUCUAUUGGGCCAAAUUUUGGGUUUUUCGGCCCAUAGGCCCAAAUUUGCGAAAAAAUGGGUUUUAAGGGACCGAAAUGGUAAAUUUCUCAAAACAGUGGGUAAAAAGGUAAAUAAAUCUAUUUCAGGGGUUAAAAUGACCCUUUUUGACAGAAAUGAUAAAAAAUGCAAAGUUUUUGGAUUUUGGGUCAAAUUUGUAAAAGCUGCGAAAAGUUUGGACUAUAAAUGAAAUUUUUUUUACUAAAGGGGCUGAAACUGCCAAAAAGUAAACUUUGGGCUGAAAUGCCAUUUGGACUAUAAAUAAGUCUUUGGGUCAAAAUAUCAAGAAAAAUAGUUUAAGGACCUAAAAUGCCAUUUUUUUUAUAAAAAGGGACUAAAAGUGUCAUUUUACUUAAAGAAGGGAUAAAAAGGUCAAACUCGUAUUUUUGAGUCAAUUACUUUAUUAUUAAAAUAUUGAGUCAAAAAUACCAAAAUUGAAACGACCCAAAAACACGACCCAAAAAUUUCGUUUUUAAUACCAUCCAAAACUAUAAUCAGAGUAUCAUAUAAAUAAACCACGCGUGAUACGUCCCAAAAGAUAACAAAGUACUGUGCGGAAAAUGUAACAUGCUAUAUCCAAAACAACAACUAGAUCAAAUCCAAACUAAAACUGAAACGGUGGUGUGUGCGAUGCCGUCAUCCAGAGCUCUUCCCUUUGCUUGCGGAAGUACCUGAAACCAAAACUGAAACUGUAAGCACGAAGCUUAGUGAGCUCCCGCAACUUACCACAUACCAAUCAACAUAUAAACACAUAUUGGGCCUUGCCCACUGCAUCGGGUCGAGACCCGGAAAACUGCAUCGGACCGAAGUCCGGAACUGACUGGGACCUUGUCCCCUGCAUCGGACCGAAGUCCGGAACUAACUGCAUCGGACCGAAGUCCGGAACUGACUGCAUCGGACCGAAGUCCGGAACUAACUGCAUCGGACCGAAGUCCGGAACUAACUGGGACCGUGUCCCCUGCAUCGGACCGAGGUCCGGGACUGACUGCACAUAGCAUAGCAUAUCAUAACAAUUUAUACUGCAUACUGCAUCGGGCCGUGGCCCGGAACAUAAACACAUACACAUAGCACAUAAAACAUGUCUGAACCACGAAGGCAUCAAACAUACUAACUACUACAUCGGACCGAAGUCCGGAAACUACUAUUAACUGGACGGGCCGGCAUUGUGGCCUUAGACCCGCCCCUACGGAAAGGAAACUCACCUCGUAAGCUAGCGGAUGAGAGUGCAGCUCGGAAAGCUAACGGCUGCUGCUCCUGAAUCUCCUCGGCUACAAAUCCAUAAACACACUCAAUCAAUCACUAGCACUACACUCAGGGUAAAAUGACUCUUUUACCCUUGGUCAAAGUUGACUUACUCAGGGCUGACUCGCCGAGUCGGGAUACCCGACUCGCCGAGUCCUAGACUCUCCGUUCAACUCUUACCUGCUGUUACUCGUCGAGUGUGGCAUCGACUCGACGAGUACCCUCUGGAUCCAAAAACUCAGAUGAUCUUCAUCCGACUCGCCGAGUCAGAUGAACAGACUCGACGAGUUGUUCUUAAUCCUCAAGGAGAUUGCCUUGGACUCGCCGAGUUGUAUGAACAAACUCGCCGAGUCCCUCCAUUACUGAGUCUACUCUUAACUCGCUGAGUCCACUCCCUAACUCACCUCGUACACUCGACACUGAAGAAACUGAAGAACUCGGGACUCGCGACCUGACUCGUCGAGUCGUUCCUCCGACUCGCCGAGUCGCCGCCAUGCAACAUAUUUUUACUCGAUUUCUCUUGAAUCCAACACAUGCAAAUGAUAGAUCUAGGUCCAUUAAGCUGUUUUACCACGUAAAGUUUCCAACUUUACGUGCACAACCACAUGAAUGAGGGAAAUAAGACUAAAAUAUGCACAAUAAGGGUAGAUCCAUGGCUAAUAAGCAAUGUAACUCCAAAAAGACAGUGGAUCUGGACUCUUCAACACCCCAACACUCAGAUCCAAAGGUAUUUCGGCUCAAUAACACAAUCAAGCAAGCAUAAAGCUUGGAACAAGCAUCAAAUAGCCCUUAAAAGAGCUCUAAUGGAAGUUUAAGCAUGAAACCAGAAGAGAACUCCGAAAAUACCUCAAUAAGUUCACACUUGAUCUUGGAUCUUGGCACUAGAACUCGUUUCCUUGCUUCCUUCUUCUUCUCCUUCUUCACCCCUUCACAAAAUGGAACAAGAUCACUUAUAAGCUCACAAGAGGAAGGUUUAGGGUUUCUCACAGUGCUCUCAGGGGGAAAGUGACGAGAUGGAGGCUAUAAUGGGGUUUAAAUAGUGAGCAAACCCGGGGAGUUAGGGUUUCACCCAGACGGACGGACUCGCCGAGUCCAGGAUAUGGACUCGCCGAGUCGCCGGCUCCCGCGUGCACAAGAUGCGCGACCCGACUCGGCGAGUCAGGCUAGAACUCGCCGAGUCCCUCUUGAAAACUUAGCCCAAAACAAAUUAAUUAACAUACCGGAAACGGGUCGUUACAAUUCUCCCCCACUUGUUUCAGACUUCGUCCUCGAAGUCUGCUACGGCUGGAUCUGCGAAUAACUCCGGGUAGUGCGUUCUCAUUUCUUCUUCAGCCUCCCAUGUCCACUCAGACCCCUUCCGAUGCUGCCACUGCACCUUUACCAGCUGAAUUACCUUGUUCCUCAAGGUCUUGGUCUUCCGUUCCAAAAUUGCUAUCGGUUUCUCGAUAUAAUUCAAGCCGCUAUCGACCUGGAUAUCCUCCAAGGGAACGACCGCUGUCUCGUCCACUAGACACUUCCUCAACUGCGACACGUGGAAGGUGUUGUGUAUCAAACUGAGCUCCUCAGGAAGAUCUAACCGGUAAGCAACCCGACCCACCCGGGCCAAAACCCUGAAAGGACCAAUAAAUCUGGGGCCCAAUUUGCCCCUCUUCCGGAACCUGAUGACACCUUUCCAAGGUGAGACUUUCAGAAGAACCAUGUCUCCCACCUGGAACUCCAAGUCUGAACGCCUCCUGUCGGCGUAGCUCUUCUGCCGACUCUGCGCAGUCUGCAGUCUACUACGGACCUGCUGGAUCAGUUCCGUCGUCUUGAGCACCACUUCGGUGCUCCCCAUGACCCGCUGACCGACCUCGCCCCAACAAAUCGGGGUCCUGCACUUCCUGCCAUAUAACAUCUCAAAAGGAGGUCGAUCAAUGCUCGCAUGAUAGCUGUUGUUAUACGAGAAUUCCGCUAAGGGAAGAUACGUAUCCCAACAGCCCCCAAAAUCCAGGACGCAUGCCCUAAGCAUGUCCUCGAGAGUCUGAAUCGUCCUCUCGCUCUGCCCGUCAGUCUGAGGAUGAAAAGCGGUGCUGAAAUGGAGACGAGUACCCAUCUCGUCGUGAAACCGCUUCCAGAAUCUGGACGUGAAGCGAACAUCUCGGUCCGACACUACCGAUACCGGCACUCCAUGACGUGCCACAAUCUCUCGCACAUAGAUAUCGGCUAACCUUUCCGCCGAUAUACUCUCCUGGAUCGGAAUAAAAUGGGCACUCUUCGUCAACCGAUCCACCACUACCCAUAUCGAAUCUACUCCACGUGCGGUCCUGGGAAGUUUGGUGAUAAAAUCCAUGGUGAUGUCCUCCCAUUUCCACACGGGAAUAUCCAACGGCUGCAUCUUGCCGUGAGGUCUCUGGUGCUCCGCCUUGACCUUCCGGCAGGUCAAGCACCUCUCAACGUACCAAGCGACGUCCCGCUUCAUGCAGGGCCACCAAUAAUCAGGUCGAAGAUCUCGAUACAUCUUCGUCGCCCCUGGAUGGAUAGAAAAUCGAGACUUAUGAGCCUCGUCCAUCAAUACCUGCCGUACCCCACCCCAGUACGGUACCCACACCCUACCAUGAAGCGUCAUCAAACCCCGACUGUCGUAGUCGAACGAAGCUACUCGACCCACUAUCCUCUCGCACUUCUGCCUCUCCUCCUUGAGACCCUCCAUCUGAGCCUCCUUGAUCCGCUCCAACAAAGGAGUGAUUACCGUCAUCCUCAUACACAAAUCCCUGAUAGGGGCCGCCGACACCUUGCGGCUCAGGGCAUCGGCCACCACGUUGGCCUUCCCUGGAUGAUACAGGAUCUCACAGUCAUAGUCCUUCAGCACGUCCAACCAUCUCCUCUGUCUCAUAUUCAAACUCGGCUGAUCCAUAAGGUAUCGUAAACUCUUGUGGUCCGUGUAGAUAGUACAGCGGACCCCAUACAGGUAAUGCCUCCAAAUCUUGAGGGCAAAUACAACUGCCCCCAGCUCCAAGUCGUGGGUAGGAUAAUUAGCCUCGUGAGGCUUCAACUGUCUCGAAGCAUAAGCCACCACAUGGCCUCGCUGCAUCAACACUGCUCCCAUACCUGUGAUCGAAGCAUCACAAUAGACCACGAAAUCCUCAACACCCUCUGGCAAGGUAAGGAUCGGAGCCUCGCACAAUCUCUGCCUGAGAGUCUCGAACGCCGCCUGCUGCUCAGGCCCCCAACGAAAAACUACCGACUUCUUGGUUAGUCGGGUGAGCGGCACUGCUAUCUUGGAGAAAUCCUGAAUAAACCUCCGAUAAUACCCUGCCAAUCCUAGGAAGCUCCGAAUCUCAGAUGGAGACCUCGGGACCUCCCACUGCAUCACGGCCUCAAUCUUGGCCGGGUCAACCAAAAUACCCUUCUGAUUAACGAGAUGCCCAAGAAACUGCACCUCGCGUAACCAGAACUCGCACUUGGAGAACUUAGCGAACAGUCUCUCCCUCCUCAAAGUCUCCAACACCUCCCGCAGGUGCUCCUCGUGCUGUCCCUGCGUCUUGGAAUACACCAAGAUGUCAUCGAUGAACACUAUCACUGACCGAUCCAGCAUCGGUCUACACACGCGGUUCAUGAGAUCCAUGAACGCGGCUGGGGCAUUGGUGAGCCCAAAUGGCAUCACCACAAACUCAUAAUGACCAUACCGGGUCCUGAAAGCAGUCUUCUGUACAUCCUCAUCCCUGACCCUCAUCUGGUGGUAACCGGAGCGUAGGUCGAUCUUGGAGAACCAAGACGCUCCCUGGAGCUGAUCAAACAAGUCAUCUAUCCUCGGAAGUGGGUAACGGUUCUUCACCGUUACCUUGUUCAACUCCCGGUAAUCAAUACACAUCCGAUGCGACCCGUCUUUCUUCCUCACAAAUAAGAUCGGCGCUCCCCAAGGCGAACUGCUCGGUCGAAUGAAACCCUUGUCUAACAGCUCCUGAAGCUGUGUAGACAACUCCUGCAUCUCAGGGGGAGCAAGUCGAUAUGGUGCUUUGGCUAUCGGAGCCGCACCAGGAACCAGGUCGAUCCUGAACUCAACCUGCCUCUCAGGAGGUAUCCCCGGCAAAUCCUCGGGAAACACAUCCGGGUAAUCUCGAACAAUAGGAACAUCAUCGAUCGUCGUCUUGCCCUUAUCCCGGGCAUCCAAGACGUAGGCUACAUAACCGGCGCAACCCUGCUGAACGUAGCGCCUCGCCCUAGCGGCAGAGCAGAAGGUCAAUCCUCGCUGGGGCCUCUCGCCCUGAACCACUAUCUCUCCCCCACUGGGAGUGCGAACCCUCACUAGCUGAAGCUCACAAUCAAUCACCGCCCCAUUGGGGCUUAGCCAAUCCAUUCCCACAAUAACUUUAUUCCCGCGCAGGGGAAUCGGAACCAAAUCCACUGAAAACUGCUCCUCAAAUAUCUGAAGGGAACACCCUCUAUAUACUUUGUCGACCCUCACGGUCCUAUCAUCUGCUAUCUCAACCUCUAACGGACAAUCCAGUUCCCCCGGAGCUCUGCUAAAUCUCUUGCUAAGCGCAAGCGAUACAAAUGAUCGGGUGGCCCCCGAGUCAAACAAUACCAAAGCAGGGAUGCCGUUCACCGAGAACGACCCUAAAUAAAGCGUACCAUCAAAUAAUAUUCAAACGAUAUAUUAAUAAUUAAGAGAUGAAAGAAAUAUACAUACCCGUCACCACAUCAGGAGUCGCUCGCGCCUCCUCUGCUGUCAUCUGAAAUGCCCUGCUCUUCGCCACCGGCGCAUCAGCUCGGCCCUGACGGCCAUCCGUGAUCCUCAAAGUAGCAGGGGCGGGUGCAUGCACCUUCCCUGCUGCAGCUAAACUGGGACACUGGGACCUUUUGUGUCCCCUCUGAUUGCACUGAAAGCAAAUCAGAUCCGAUGCUGUAACCGUAGUGGCAGGGGCCGUACAAUCCCUACUCAUAUGCCCGGUCCGACCGCACUUGUAGCAGCCGGAACUCCCUGCCUUGCACGCCCCCUCGUGCAACCUCCCACACUUGCCACAUCGACCGUGGCUCUGCUGACCCCUGGACCUGUGAUCUGAAACCUUGGGCUUUUUGCCCACACUGCCUGCACCCGAAACCGCCUCCGGUUUCCUCUUCCUCUCCAUCUCGAGAUCAAUCUCCCUCUCUCUGGCUCUAGCAAUCAUGUCGUCCAGUGUUUUGCAACUGGACCGGCUCACAAACAUACGAAUGUCGCUCCGCAACAUCUCGUGAUAACGGGCCUUCUUCAUCUCCUCGUCUGCUGCAUACUGAGGAACAAGAAGGGCCCGCUCCCUGAACUUGGCGGUGAUCUCCGCCACUGUCUCGGUAGUCUGGGUAAGAUCCUGGAACUCCCUGGCUAACUGUUGCACCUCAAUGACCGGUGCGAACUCCGCUCUGAACCUGGUAGAAAAAUCAGCCCAGGUCAUGGCAUCCAAUGCCGCAUCAUCCCCGAUGGUAUGUCCUACCUCCUCCCACCAGUCACGUGCCCUGUCCUUCAGGAGACAGGACGCCAAUCUGACCUUGUCCCCCUCGGGACAUCUGCUAGUGCGGAAUGCGUUGGCCACAUCCGCCAACCACCUGGUACUCGCUAUGGGGUCCCGUGCCCCGUGAUAGUCAGGAGCCCCGCAUGCCCUGAACUCCCUGAAAGUGAGUGUGCGCGACCCCAUCACGGCCGCCAUCUCAGUACGGAAGGUACUCAGUCUCUCAUCCAUCAUCUCCAAAAUGCCCUCCUUGAUCGAACCGAAGAUCACAGGAGUCUGCUCAAGUAUGAUGCGAGUAAUCUCAGAAGAAAGGAACUCUCUGGUCUGCUCAUCGAUCUGUCCGACCUCCGGGUCGGAUCCCGAUCCUGAUCCUCCUCCGGCAUCUGAACUGCCGGCUGCUGGCCUCGGACGCAAAACUACCAUUCUGAAACAUAUCAUAACAACAUCAGAACAUUGAAAUAUUUCAAGGGAUCAUGAUACGACUACUAGCUUCCUGGUCUAAUCUUGGCCUUCCUUGAUUCGAAUACGGAUCCUCUGCUUCCAGUAGUAUGGGCCCCUACUACCUUCCACAUCUAUCCAUACUUUCCUCAAGAACUGCCUCGACUUCCCCAAGUCACUUCUACUGCUGCUAUUCCCUGCUACUCUCACCCUAGGCUUGCCCUAGAGAAAACUCGAGCUCAAUACGACUGGUCCUCAGCUGCUGUAGGUCUCCUUGCACUGCCAGUUAGCCAUCACCUGAACACCAUCACAUGUGAUGAGGAUCGGAUAAUCCUUCAAGUAAAAGAUCCGUCCCUACAACGGUUGGACUCAAACAAGAGCUGCGCAGUAGGGCCAGUUCCAGCACUCUGGGAUUAUUCAAACCUGAUUACAUGUGGUGUGACGUGUCCACCUAAUGGCUAACUCCCAUUACUCGGAAUCCCACUAAGCACAAAGCAAGCAGCAUUCGGACAAGGGAAACAGACUCACGCAAGCUAUUCUUAUAACAAGAAACUGCACUAGCAUAGGAUGCUAAGCUCAUACGAUCAGGCGUAACCUAAACAGGCUAUCCUACUGCUGUCUACUCAAUUCUAGCAUGCAAUAUUCAUAGAGCUGUAACACAUAAGCAGGCACAUAAGGCGUUCUCCUACACCCUUAGUCCUAUUCUAGCAUGCUGUUCUACUAAACUGAAAUUGAACAAAUAACUUGUAUGGGUAAUUUGGGAGUACUUACUUGAGCUCGGUUGACCGCAUGCACACACCUUUUUCUUAAAACAAUUCUUUUCCUUCUAAGUGUUUUCAAAAUUCUUUUGUAAAAACAUUUUAUUAAAAAUCUUUUAUUUCCCUUUAGUUUGAGUUCAGAUACACCCGAGAGUGUAUCCGAAUCCCUCAAACCAGGGCUCUGAUACCAACUUGAAACGACCCAAAAAUACGACCCAAAAAUUUCGUUUUUAAUACCAUCAAAACUAUAAUCAGAGUAUCAUAUAGAUAAACCAUGCGUGAUAUGUCCCAAAAGAUAAUAAAGUACUGUGCGGAAAAUGUAACAUGCUAUAUCCAAAACAACAACUAAAUCAAAUCCAAACUAAAGCUGAAACGGUGGUGUGUGCGAUGCCGUCAUCCAGAGCUCUUCCCUUUGCUUGCGGAAGUACCUGAAACCAAAACUGAAACUGUAAGCACGAAGCUUAGUGAGCUCCCCCAACUUACCACAUACCAUACAACAACAUAUAAACACAUAUUGGGCCUUGCCCACUGCAUCGGGUCGGGACCCGGAAAACUGCAUCGGACCGAAGUCCGGAACUGACUGGGACCUUGUCCCCUGCAUCGGACCGAAGUCCGGAACUAACUGCAUCGGACCGAAGUCCGGAACUGACUGCAUCGGACCGAAGUCCGGAACUAACUGGGACCGUGUCCCCUGCAUCGGACCGAGGUCCGGGACUGACUGCACAUAGCAUAGCAUAUCAUAACAAUUUAUACUGCAUACUGCAUCGGGCCGUGGCCCGGAACAUAACACAUACACAUAGCACAUAAAACAUGUCUGAACCACGAAGGCAUCAACAUACUAACUACUACAUCGGACCGAAGUCCGGAAACUACUAUUAACUGGACGGGCCGGCAUUGUGGCCUUAGACCCGCCCCUACGGGAAGGAAACUCACCUCGUAAGCUAGCGGAUGAGAGUGCAGCUCGGAAAGCUAACGGCUGCUGCUCCUGAAUCUCCUCGGCUACAAAUCCAUAAACACACUCAAUCAAUCACUAGCACUACACUCAGGGUAAAAUGACUCUUUUACCCUUGGUCAAAGUUGACUUACUCAGGGCUGACUCGCCGAGUCGGGAUACCCGACUCGCCGAGUCCUAGACUCUCCGUUCAACUCUUACAUGCUGUUACUCGUCGAGUGUGGCAUCGACUCGACGAGUACCCUCUGGAUCCAAGAACUCAGAUGAUCUUCAUCCGACUCGCCGAGUCAGAUGAACAGACUCGACGAGUUGUUCUUAAUCCUCAAGGAGAUUGCCUUGGACUCGCCGAGUUGUAUGAACAAACUCGCCGAGUCCCUCCAUUACUGAGUCUACUCUUAACUCGCUGAGUCCACUCCCUAACUCACCUCGUACACUCGACACUGAAGAAACUGAAGAACUCGGGACUCGCGACCUGACUCGUCGAGUCGUUCCUCCGACUCGCCGAGUCGCCGCCAUGCAACAUAUUUUUACUCGAUUUCUCUUGAAUCCAACACAUGCAAAUGAUAGAUCUAGGUCCAUUAAGCUGUUUUACCACGUAAAGUUUCCAACUUUACGUGCACAACCACAUGAAUGAGGGAAAUAAGACUAAAAUAUGCACAAUAAGGGUAGAUCCAUGGCUAAUAAGCAAUGUAACUCCAAAAAGACAGUGGAUCUGGACUCUUCAAUACCCCAACACUCAGAUCCAAAGGUAUUUCGGCUCAAUAACACAAUCAAGCAAGCAUAAAGCUUGGAACAAGCAUCAAAUAGCCCUUAAAAGAGCUCUAAUGGAAGUUUAAGCAUGAAACCAGAAGGGAACUCCGAAAAUACCUCAAUAAGUUCACCCUUGACCUUGGAUCUUGGCACUAGAACACGUUUCCUUGCUUCCUUCUUCUUCUCCUUCUUCACUCCUUCACAAAAUGGGACAAGAUCACAUAUAAGCUCACAAGAGGAAGGUUUAGGGUUUCUCACAGUGCUCUCAGGGGGAAAGUGACGAGAUGGAGGCUAUAAUGGGGUUUAAAUAGUGAGCAAACCCGGGGAGUUAGGGUUUCACCCAGACGGACGGACUCGCCGAGUCCAGGAUAUGGACUCGCCGAGUCGCCGGCUCUCGCGUGCACAAGAUGCGCGACCCGACUCGGCGAGUCAGGCUAGAACUCGCCGAGUCCCUCUUGAAAACUUAGCCCAAAACAAAUUAUUUAACAUACCGGAAACGGGUCGUUACAAAAAUCCUAACUAGGAAUUUAGAAUGGAAAAGUGUGCAUAUACUUUCAUUAAUUUAAAUAUCGUUAUACAACAAUUGACGAACUUCGUGCCUUUGCGAUUCAACAAUUGAUCAAUCAGACCUUCCGACAAUUAUACCAUACUUAAAACAAGUAAAUAUUCAAACUGUUGGGCUUGAAAGAUUCAAAUCAUGUUUUUUGGGCCUUCGUGACCCAUUAAAUGUGACUUUUGGGCCUAACAAUAAUAAUAUAUGUUAUUUGGGCCUCCUGUGACCCCAUUAUAUGCUUAAGGGACCCUCAAUGGCAACUACAUGCAGUUUGGUCUUAGUGGCCCACUAGUAUUGCUAGUAAGGUCCAAAUAAAUCAUAUUGUGAAUUAGGCCAACAUGCCCUUUGUAUACUCGACAACCUUGGAUAACACACACGAUUAGUGGAACCUCGCAGUCCUCUUCUCCUCGUCUGUUAGGCUUACCUUCUAUUCAAGUAAACAAAAUCAGGUCGUUAAUCAAGGGUAAUCAAAUUCAUUUGGAUUAAGUGAGNGUAAUCAAAUCAUUUGGAUUAAGUGAGUAAUAAUGGGCGACACCUUUAAGUGUCGGUCGUAGUCUGUAGUUAUAAUCAAAGUCUCCUGGAGAGAGAGCGAAAGUUUGUCUAUAGAUCUAUACGGGGGUGACUCCCCCUGUAACAUCCCAAAAUUUAAGCCCGAAAUUUUCAUUUUUAAAUUAACAAUUCCAUAAACAUUUUUACCAAAAUAUUGUCGAAUAAACAACAUGUCACAAAAUCGUAUUGUUGUGUCCCAAACCAUAACGUCAAAAGUAAUAAAAAUCAAAGUACAGUCCCAAAAACUCAUUGCGGAAAACCAUGAGUGUGUGUGUGAUGCGCUGCUACACAGCCGGAUCCUUCCCCUUCGACGAAGAGGUACCUGAAACCAAAACCAAAACUGUAAGCACAAAGCUUAGUGAGUUCCCCCAUCAUACCACAUACCAUACAAUAUCGUCGGUAUCUUUCAACCGGUAACCUUCAUCGGUAUCUUUCAACCGGUAACCUUCAUCGGUAUCUUUCAACCGGUAACCAACAUCGGUAUCUUUCAACUGGUAGCCAACAUCGGUAUCUUUCAAUCGGUAACUGGGGACUAUUUCACCCCUACCACUAGCAUACAAUCAACAGAUAUAAACAUACAGUCAGGCACAUCCGGGUACUGACCUACCCUUGGGUCCUACGGACCACUGUUAGGGAAACUAAUCCCUACUAUACACAUAACAUAUCAUCCAGAUAAAUCUCAUAACCAACACAUAACCAAACCAAAAUAAUUAUACAAAGACCAUUAUCUUCUAAAUACCCCUUUUUGGUGGGUCGGCAUUGUGGCCUUAGACCCACCCCUACUGGAAGGUAACUCACCUCAAUGUAGUGCAGUGUUUGAAUUAUCCUCGGCGCACAAGUCGACUCCCUUAGACUUCUCGAUCCCUACACGACAACCUUCAAGUCAACACAUAGCAAGUACAACCCUAAACAGGGUCAGUCCAAGUCUAGUCAAAGUCAACUUCAAGUUGACCCGACUCGCCAAGUUGGGCCGUCACCUCGCCGANUUUACUCGUCCUCAUCCAUGACCCGACUCGUCGAGUUGGGCCGUCAACUCGACGAGUUCCUCCCUCACAUGAACAUCGCAUGAAACUCAUCCGACUCGCCGAGUUGAUGAACAACUCGUCGAGUUCACCUUCAUCUGAUGAACAAGUUCUGUCCUCGACUCGCCGAGUUGAUGAACAACUCGUCGAGUUUAUCUUCAUCCUUAAGAAGAUUGCCUUGGACUCGUCGAGUCUGUUCUAGCACUCGUAGAGUCCCAUGAACUCCAUGUCUAAAAUCACGUCAAAUACAAUGGGUAACUCUUUCUGUCCGAUUACAACCCUUAUAACACUCAACUGGGUUCCUUUGACCCUCAACAGGUAUGGGGCUCAAAGCCUCGGACUCGUCGAGUCCCAAGAACGGACUCGCCAAGUCAGUCAUGUCCACACUCUAAAUCCUUGAUUUCUGAUGUACAACCUUUGAUCAAAAGAUAGAUCCAAGCUUCUAUAAUCGAUCUAGCAUGUAAAGUGACAAACUUUACAUGCUUGCAUGGGACUUUGAGCUCAAAAAGACAUAAAACAAGCUCUUAAGAUGCAUGGGGCCUUUCAUGGGUGCAAAAGCCACUCAAAUCUGCCUAGUGACCCCUUAAAUGAUGUGAUUCAGAAGCUUUAACCCCCAACCAUGUUUGCAACAUGGUUGGCCACCAAAAAUGGCUUAUAAAAGCCCUAAAUCUCCUCAAAGAGGGAUCUAACAAACGAAUGAGCAAGGUUACAGAUUUUUACCUUCAAUGAGCUGUAGAAGGUGCACAAACUCGGGUUCCCUUGGUCUCUACUUGCUUCCUUAAGCUUUUCUCCUUCCUUCUUAAGACCACAAGCACCAAAAUCCACCAACAAGGCUUAUAUUGCUUCAAUAACGGCUAGGUUUUCAAUGAGAGGUGUUUUGGGAGCAUAAGGGAAGUUUUGGACGACAUAACAUUGUUUAAAUAGGGUGCAAACCCUUGGAUUAGGGUUUUUGUCCAGACAGCACUUACUCGUCGAGUCUGGGACCCGACUCGUCGAGUCCACGGCUUAAAACGCGCGUCCCAUCCCGCUUCUACUCGGCGAGUUGGUCCUUCAACUCGCCGAGUCCAAGGACAAAAAUGCAAAUUACAUAUAUAAAAAUAAAAAGAAGAGCGUACCAAGUACCAGGUGCUACACCCCCAUACCUUAGCUGUUCGCUCUAGUUAGACUUGGCCAGUCUAGGGUGAAAAAAUCUUAAGAUCAAUUCCGGCGUUCACUAGAAUGCCAAGACAGACGAACUGGUCAUUAUCAUGCAUGGUUAUAACGACUCGCAUAAUAAAUCCAAUACUAUCUGAGUAAUCAUGGGAAUUCAUAAUCAUUCGUUGUGACAGUAUAAUAAUUCAAAACAAUCAUAUUAUCUUAUCGGAAAAUAAUGUGUGUUUAAUGCACUUGUUUUAUUCCUACUUUUGAAUUAUAAAUUUAGCACACAAAGGUAGUGAACCUGUCUUUCAGUGGUAUAGUUGGAUAAGUAGGGUGUCGAACUCAGGGAACGGAAAUUAAACUAAUAACUAAUUUUAACUAAGCAAGUAAUAAAAGUAAAAGGGUUUUUCACUAGUUUUGCAAGACUAGAAACUUAAACACACCACCUAAGCACGUGAUUAACUAAACAACUAAAACAAGUAACAAAUUCACCAAAUUUGAUAAAUAGUUUCUGUUUAGGUCCAACCAAUUCACUCCUAUGGUUAUUUAUAUGAUAAUAUGAUAAAUUAAUUGUUAUUGGUUACCAACUAUAGUGGUUAGGUUGAUGUUCAUUACUACUAACCCUUAGACAAUUAAUCAAUUCAAGCAGUGGCCAAUUGUUUAAACUAAUUAAUUCCCUGGUUCAAUUGUUUGGAUUAAAUAAGAUUUGUAAUUGGUUAAUCAAGUUGGUGGUUCAAUUAACCUCUUGUUUUUUGGUUUCUCAAACAAGCUCACACAUUAAUUUACUCAUUCUGUAAUUAAUCCUAGUUUCAUGUUCAUUAUUCCUAGGCAUAUGAUAAAGUGUUCACAUAAACCUAUGAGGUUAACAACUAAGAGAUGUUCAUGCAGCUUAAUUGUCUUCCAAUUAACAGAAAAUAGUUGUGGUUAAUGCAUAAGGUUCUUUAACAAACUUAAUUUAAUAAAAUCACCAAUAAACAAUCAAUAAAAAUAAAAAUUAAACCAUAGGAGUAACUUGGUCUUCCUAAACAGAAACAAUAUGAAUUUAGCUCAUUGUUACAGUAAAAACAAACUCAAAAACAAAUUCGACUAGGCUAGACAUGCUUAAUUCCUAAGAUUAAGUGGAAUGUAUAACCUAAAUUGCCUUGAUUCUUCAAAAGAUCGAAGGUUAGGGUUUCUUAGCUCUCCAGAGGGUUCUUCAAUCGCAUGUGUAACUCCCAAAAGCCAGAAAAAGUCCCUCAAUUCGGAUUAAGACCCCAUAUUUAUAGUUAUCACAAAACAGGGGCUACUCGGCGAGUAGGUUGUGGACUCGCCGAGUACCAGGUGAAAUCCGUGUAUGGCCAGGAGUCUUGACUUAUCUUCGGGAACAUUCUUGGGUACUCGCCGAGUAGCCUCGCAGACUCGCCGAGUUGGUGUGUUUUUCCUCUUUCUUCAUUCUUUGGUCUCUAAUUGCUUCUCCUUGUUCCUUUUUUACUUCCAAGCAUGUCUUUUGGACUGAAAACAAAAUUUAAGCAUUAUGAAGUACCUUUUGUCCACAUUAUGCACAUAAUUAGCUAAAAAUAAAUAAAAAUGUAUGCUAAACGUAUGACUAAGUAUGCAAAUAUCAAAAUACCCCACACUUGACUUUUGCUUGCCCCCAUGCAAAACUGAAUUUUAACACAUUAGAACCACAUAUGACAACUCCAAUCUAACCCAACCAUUAUGCCAAGACCGCAACGCAUGCAUUUGUGUCUAAAAUUUUCCUAAAUACCCCCAUACUCUAAAUACUCACAAUCCUCAUAAACAUUCGCCCACUCAUCCCGAACAAUGCUCAUUUUAUGCAUCCCUCCGAAUCCAUCCGUAGAAAACCUCCUAUCCUCAAGGUAUUUUUGGUUGAGCAACCCAAGCAUACAUAAUCUAGAAUUACAAUUUAUGAUACCACUAUGAAGCUCUUUUGAAUUCUUCACUUCCUUGAUCUUUUAAUCUUUAAUUUCUUUGAAUCCACCACCUUGUUGAUUGAUUUUUGGUAUCUUCAGCUUUUGAAUUUCUCCAUAAUUUUGAUCUUUUGAUCUUCACUUUAACUGCUCCAAAAUUCUUACAACUUUUCUUGUAAUUCUCUCUCUUUUUUUACAUGUAACUCACUUUUUUUUACUCAAAACCCUACAUGCUUAAGCAGGGGCGCUCAACUUCAACAUUUAUUGGUUAACGAUAAUAAUUUUCCUGGAUACAUUUCUGGUACACGAUGCUAAACAUAUUGCAUCCUUCGGGCUGAGCGAUGUCGUGUUUUUGUCCCAUGAUUUCACUAGAAUAAGGGGGCCACAAAUGCACUAUAACGUAUAUAGGCUCAACUAAAUAUUUGGGUUUUCAUGCAAUCAUCAACACAAUUCUAACAUGUAAUCGUAAUUACUUUUUACCAAAAUUUUCUAAAUUAAUUCCUAAGUCACAUUUUUGGUAUGCAAGAAUGCAAUUUUUUUUAAAUAGACCUAAAUUAGGAUAUUAAGAUUCUCAAUUUACUAGAAAUUAACCAACCCCCUACCCCACACUUAUUUUAUGCGAUGUCCUCAUUGCAUAUCAUGCAUGAUAAAAAUAUGAAAUAUAGAGAGAAUUGGAACAAACUCCCCUAGGGUAGCAGUCGCUAGUUUGACAUUUCUUCUCUUCAACUCCAUCUUCAAUUGACUUUAUACAUGGGAACAGCUCAUCCAUGUCUUGGGUGUCAAAAUCUCAUGUGGUAAAUAUGCAAAUAACUCAAAAAUGUAAGACAAAGCUCCUAGAAACCUCCAGUAAUGACUCUUCAUGAAAAAUGGACAAGUACUGCAAUGAAUGUGCUCAAAACAGCUCUGGAAUUCGAAAAAUGUCGAUGGACUCGGCGAGUAUUAUCGUGUACUCGGCGAGUAUAUUUCCAAAUUUCAGUGGUGUCGGGUAAUUACCCAUGUACUCGCCGAGUAGGCUAUAUACACUCAGCGAGUAGGUGCUGAGUUGAGAAAUAGUUGUCCAGCUCGUUUACUCUUCGACUGAGGUGCUGAAUUGAGGUAAUUCAAUGACUCUUCUUCUAAUUACUCCAGUAACAAUGCACUCUAUCACUCCCAAUUCUAACGGACUCAACCUUAAUGAAAAUACUUCGCACUCUUAAUUAAACAUUCCUCACUUGAACCUUGACCCUUAACACUUCUAUAUGCAUCCUAACCUUCCAAUCCUGAAAAAGAAAAUGCAACCACAAAAUAAAAGCCACCAAAUAAAAGUCCUAAAAAAACAAGCAUCCAAGUUCAACAAUUGUCCAAAUCAAACAUCAUAAAAAACAAAUAAAAACACAAAACAUAAAAUCUUCAAUCUUCUUCCUCCAUGUUAGUUCCUCCAGCACCACUUCCUCCUCCUUCAUUGUCUCUCCACAUCCUUUCCUCCCAAUUCAUAAUAUAAGGAUAACCGGGUCUGGAUCUCGGAGCGAUAUUCAAUUGUUGGAAAAGAUACUCAAAUGAUUGAUUAUUAUAACUGACACCUCUCCCAAUAUCAUCCAAGUAUCUCCGGUACUCAACUUGGUUCCACCCGUCGUUCUCUUCCUCCACCGGAAUAAUCGGUGGGUCUUCUCGUACCCGCUCACUCCUUUGCCUCACCCGCCACCCCGGCUCCUCGGGGAUAACCGCCUCGUCCGCAUGUGGAAUAGAAUAAGAGUCUCCAAACUUCUCCACAAUCCUUGCCCUUCGAUAUAGUGUAGUGUUAAACGGAGGGGGAUAAAUGACGGUCAGUGCCCUCACCUCUUGCAAAUCCAAGAUCCCAAAUGAUCUUGCGAGCCUUGUCACGAACAUUCCUCCAUUGAUUUUGGAGGUCACCUUCUCUUUAACAGCCCCAUCCGCAAGAUAUUUGGCUAUGCAGUAGGGAAGGUUGCAAAAGACAUUCGGGAGUAAUAAUGCUCCAAAGAUAGAAAAUAUCAAGGGUCGGGACUUUGUCAUCGUCCUUCCGCAUGUUGAUUAUGCUGGCGAUGAAGCGAUGAAUGAGACGGUGGAUUGGUGAACGGAUAUGGCCCUCCUGCACGGAAGAUGGAAUGUACACCCGGUUAGCAAUAGUAUUCCACUAGGUGGAAGCAACCACUUCUUCGAGGAGAUCUUUAUGGCAAUUGUCUAAGAAAGUUUCAAAGUCUUCAUUCAACAUUGCGCUUUGGUCAUAGAUGUCAAUCCUCCAUGCAAACUCUACCAUGCUGCAUUUUCGCAGCUCCCCUGUAACGCCCGCAAAUCUGGGCUAGUCAAAUUAGAGGCAAUAGGGGUCGAAAACGACUUUUCGACAAAAGAUUAUUUAGAAUAAAUAAUCUUAACCAAGUUGUAGAGUAUGUUACAAGGUUUUCGUACAUAUAAAGAACGCCGAAAACCGAGUUAUAACGAAAAAGUUAUGACCCGUUGAAGUUUCGCGAUGGAACCGGCACGAUACCGGGAAGCGUAAAUAGUGAAUUUACGAUAGAGCGAGAUUUAGCCUUAGCGAUCUAAACGAAAGUCGUAGAAUAUGUUAAACUAAGAACAUCGAUAAAUAGAAUGCCCAAAUCUGACUUCGUAUGAGGAAGUUAUGAUUUUUCUAAGAUUUAGCAUAGCAGUGCACAGCCCGAAAUCUGAAUUUUAGAUCGGUCGAUUUUUAGCCGACGGGAUCUAAAUGAAAGUUGUAGUACUCGUAAAUACCAACGCGUGGAUAUAAAGAACGUCGAUAAUAGAGCUCGUAUGCAAAAGUUAUGGACGAAGCUUAGUCCCUACUUUUCGAGCGCGGCGAAUUCGAUACAGUUUUGUAAAUACGAGAUAGAAUGAGAAUUAGCCAACGAGGUCUAAAUGAGAGUUGAAGAUCUCAUUAAUAGGAACUCAACGGUAAAAAGACAGACAAAAAUGGAGCUCGUAUGCGAAAGUUAUGGACGAAGCUUAGUCCCUACUUUUCGAGCGCGGCGAAUUUGAUACAGUUUUGUAAAUCCGAGAUAGAAUGAGAAUUAGCCAACGAGGUCUAAAUGAAAGUUGAAGAUCUCAUUAAUAGGAACUCAACAGUAAAAAGACAGACAAAAACGGAGCUCGUAUGCAAAAGUUACGGACGAAGCUUGGAGACUACUUUACUAUACACUUCCUAUAAAUACAAGGGUGAACUCCUCAUAUUUUCUUCACACCAUAAGCCUUUCUUUCUCUCUCUAACUUCUCUCUAGCCUCCCUAAACCCCUCCCAAGUCUACGGAACCUCCCUAGCACGAGAAGAAAGCCCCGGAGCGCCCGACGGCUCCGAGAAGAAAAGCUUUCGGCUUGGAAACGCUGCUCCAGCGAAGCCCGGUUUUUAAUAAAAACUCGCUGUAAGUGAGCUACGCCUAUACUAUAUUUAAUAUAGAUUUUAUUUAAUUAUAGUAACAUUAUUAGGACCUUAAAAUAAUUAUUUGGGCUAUUAUUAUGAGUUAUAUUGAGUGUUAUUUAACGCUUAUAUAAUAGUAAUAAUAGCUAGACUAUUAAUUAGUCGUGGUUAACGUUAAAAACUAAACCCUAGUGGUAUUGAUACUAGGUUUUGUCGAGGAAAAUUGUUUUGAGAUAACGAAGUGCUGUCUGAGUUCGGAAUCACCACCUAAUCAGGUGAGUGCAUGGUCUCUUUCAUCUUACACAUAGAUAUGAAGUAUUUUAAUAUAAAUUACGUGUUAUGUGUGCAUAUUGUCUGAAUACUUGUUGUCUAUGCUGGUGAAAGAUUUUUAUACAUGUUUUAAAUGAUGUAAACUGUAUAAAGUAUUUUAUAUCUACAAAAUAUGUUGGGUAAAACAUGGGUAGAUGAAUGAUGAUGGAUAAAAGCUGAAAUAGAGGAACAUUAGUAGUACGGACCUAGUGCCCUAUAGGUAUACAUUGGCAGCAGUGGACCUAGUACCCUAUAGAUGAGCACUGGCAGCUGCGCCACAACCCGUAGAUGAUUUAGAUCUACGGUAAACGUCCUAGCAGCUGCGCUCUAAGGAUAGUAUCGGCAGCUGCGCCUAAUAGGGAGCCUUAUGACCAUGACAGUAGUGUUUAAAGGUCAAUACCGGCAGAAGCGCCUCAUAGAAAAUGUCCUAAUUCUGGCAGCUGAGCCUAAGUGACAAUAUUAGCAGCUGCGCUUGACCAAUGUGUCAUUGGCAACAAUGGACUUCAUGUUGUUUCCUUAGGAUGAUCCUUAGGAAUGAAUGAAUGAGAAAUAGCUGAUUCUUAGGGUAGAUCCUUAAGAAUAAAGAAGAUAAUGGGGAUGGGUAAUUGGGUUGAUUGUUUGAUUGUUUAAACAUAAUAAUUAUAUUAUUGUGGGUUGAAAACCCUAUGUACUCACCAGGUUUCCCAACCUGACCCACUCAGUUUAUUUAUAUCACAGGUGUUGAUAUGAAGUGACAUUACACUGAGAGAUUUAAAGAGAUGUAGAUCACUAGUGUAAAUAAUUGUAAGUUCUGUUUAUGCUUAUGUUUCUGUAUUAACGAUGACAUCCCAAACGUUUUAAAAUGAAAUAAAUACGUUUCUUCGAAAAUGUUUUAAUAACGUAUUUACCAUGUUUUUCUGGGAACAAAUUCCGCACAAUUUUUAUAAAAUGAAGUACUCUGAUUUUUAUAAAGCAUAAACAACAUCGGUCUUUUCUGGCCGUGAAAAUGGGGAUGUCACAUCCCCACCAAGAGAAAAGGAAAUAACAUUGGGGUUAUAAUACUCACUACCACCACGGAAUGAGAUGGUAGCGAAGAAUUCCCAACAUAAUUCCGCAAAUACCAGUUCUUGGAUUUUGAACAGUUGUAACCAACCAUCACAUAUGAUGGUAGAAUCCCCCAUAUUGCAUUCUUUCACCAAAUAUGGUGUCAACUCUUCCUCCAGCCCAACCUUUCCCAGCCAAUCCCAGUUUAUUGCAUUAGGUAAAUGGAUCGCCUUCUGCUUCAAAGCUUCUAAUCUGUUUUUAGCGCGGGCUUGAGAAGAUCUAGAGGUGAUUUGGCGAAAAGAGAGCCACGGGAUGUCUCCUUGGCUUCCCCCUCGUGAAGUUUGGCCCCUUCUGGACAUUGUUCCUGCAAAAUAACAUUAAGAAAGCACAAACAAACAACACCCAACAAUUAAAAUCGAACAGAACAGAUCUGUAAAGUAUCCUACUCGCCGAGUUCAAGAACUACUAGGCGAGUAGUAUGAACAUCGGGACCAAAUUAUCAUCGGACCAUUAUAGGUCAGUUAAAACAUCUAAUUCUUCAUCAGGGUUUGCUGUACUAAGUCCAUAAAACACAAAUCCAAAAGAAAUUUUGCCUAAAACCUCCUAAUUCGUAGCAAAAUCAAAACCCUAGAAAUUGAGGAAACCCCCACAUCCGAUUUUUGGACAAAAUAAGGGCUAAGAAGUGAUAAACAUUAACCUUUAACAAGUAUUGUGAGUAAAAAUCAUACCUUUACGCUUAAAAGAUGAAGAUUCAACACAAAAUUGCAGAAAUGGCUUGAGAGAAGAAACCACACGGUAAGUAUGAGAGAAAUGGGUAAAAUGAGUGAAAAACCCUUAUUUACAGAUUAAAAAUCAACUCGUGUAAAAUUGAUACUCACCGAGUAGAAAUACAUACUCGCCAAGUAGAAACGCGUAUUCGCGAUUUUUAAGGGAUUUGGACAAGUACUCGCCGAGUAGGUCGCAUAUACUCGGCAAGUAAAGCUUGCAGUUUGAAAAAAACUUAAUUAAUUUUUUGUUUGAUUUUAUUUUUAACCCACCACCCCACACUCUAAGCAUUUCUUGCCCUCAAGCAAUCAUUUUGAACAUAUUUUCAGAAGAAUAAUGAAAAUAAAACAGAUCCUAAGAAAUUAAAAAGAAAAUAAAGGAAAAAGAAAUGCAAACUCUAAACUCGGGUUGCCUCCCAGAAGCGCUUCUUUUUAUGGAGUCAUUAGCCGGACUCCUUCCAUGCUACGUUUCUGCCAUUCCUUCCAGCAACAACCCUUCUUCUAUGUCUUCAUUCCUUGGGACUCCUUCUUCAUAUCUUUUUACUCUAUGUCCAUUGACCUUAAAAGGGGUACCAUCCUUUGAUAAUAACUCUAUAGCACCAUGUGGAAACACCUUCUUUACUAGAAAAGGACCAUCCUAUCUUGACUUGAGUUUGCCCGAAAAAAGUUUUAGUCUUAAAUUAAAGAGCAACACCUUUUGCCCAUCAUGAGACUCUUUAUUUCCCUUGAUCCUCUUGUCAUGUCAACUCUUGGUUUUCUCUUUAUAAAUUAGAGAGCUAGUGUAGGCAUCAUUUCUAAGUUCCUCAAGAGCAUUCAUUUGCAUUAACCGGUUGUUCUUGAGCUCCGCCAUGUUGAAGUUGCACAUUUUUAAAGCCCAAAAAGCUUUAUGCUCGAUCUCCACCGGUAAAUGACAUUGCUUUCCAUAAACUAGCAUAUAUGGUGUAGUACCAAUAGGUGUUUUGAAAGUUGUUCGGAAGGCCCAUAGUGCAUCGUCUAGCUUGUCCGACCACUCUUUCCGAUUUCUCCCCACUGAUCUCUCCAAGAUUCUCUUUAAGGCUCUAUUUGUCACCUCGGUUUGUCCACUAGUUUGUGGAUGGUAGGAUGUAUGGGUUACCCCAUAUUUCCUUAGCACCUUCUCUAGUUGAUCAUUGGCAAAAUGAGUGCCUCGUUCACUUAUAAGAGCUUUUGGGACUUCAAAUCUUGAAAAUAGCUUCUUCAAAAAUCUUACCACCACCCGACCAUCAUUAGUUGGCAAAGCUUGUGCCUCCGCCCACUUGGAUACAUAAUCCACCACCACUAAUAUGUACUUGUUGCCUUUAGACAUGGGAAAUGAUCCCAUGAAAUCGAUCCCCCACACAUCAAAUACUUCACACACUUGAAUACUAUGUUGUGGCAUUUCAUUUCGGGAUGAAAUGUUUCCCGCUCUUUGACAUGCAUCACAUUCUUUGACAAAUUGGGCUGCAUCUUUAAAAAUCGUGAGCCAGUAAAACCCAAUGUCAAAGAUCUUCUUAGUAGUGUAAUGUGCUCCAUGAUGUCCACCCGUGGGCCCGCUAUAACAAUGCUCCAAAAUUUUCCGGCUUUCAUUCCCGAACACACAUCUUCGUAUGAUUCCAUCCGCACAGCUUCGGAAAAGGUAUGGCUCAUCCCAAAAGUAAUACUUUAUUUCGGAAAAGAAUUUCUUCUUUUGUUGGCUAGUAAGAUCUUUUGGGAUGUAUUUGCUAGCUAAGUAAUUAGCUAUGUCUGCGAACCAUGGCUCUUCUCCCGCAGUCACCAUAAUGUACUCGUCCGGGAAGUCAUCUCCAACUCUAUCUUCUUGUAAUUGCGGGUUUUCAAGCCUUGACAAGUGGUUGGCUGCUACAUUCUCCAUUCCCUUUUUGUCGCGUAUUUCGAUGUCAAAUUCUUGAAGAAGUAGAACCCAUCAUAUCAAUCUUGGCUUGACAUCCUGUUUGGCAAACAAAUACUUGAUAGCAGAGUGGUCAGUAAAAACAGUUGUUUUAGAUAAAACUAAAUAUGAGCGGAAUUUAUCAAAAGCGUACACCACAGCUAAUAAUUCUUUUUCAGUGGUGGUUUAAUUCUCUUGGGCUAGAUUUAAAGUUUUACUAACAUAAUAAAUGGGUCGAAAGUGCUUAUCAACCCUUUGACCAAGGACAACUCCUAGUGCAAAGUCACUAGCAUCACACAUUAUUUCAAAUGGUAAAUCCCAAUUUGGGGCAACAAUGAUCGGGGCAUUAGUCAAUUUUUCCUUUAAGAAUUCAAAUGCCUCUAAACACUCUUUAGUAAAAUUAAAUGGUGCAUCCUUUAAAAGCAAUUGUGUUAGAGGUCUAGUUAUUUUAGAAAAAUCUUUUAUAAAACGCCGGUAAAAACCCGCGUCUCCUAGAAAACUUCUAAUGCCCUUCACAUUAGUUGGUGGGGGUAAUUUGGCAAUGGUGUCAAUCUUUUCCCGAUCCACUUCAAUUCCCAAUUUGGAAACCUUGUGGCCUAGAACUAUACCCUCCUUGACCAUAAAGUGGCAUUUUUUCCAAUUAAGGACUAAGUCGGUUUUUUUCACACCUAGCAAGCAUUAAGUCAAGAUUUGUGAGACAAUCAUGGAAGGAAGAUCCAAAAACAGAAAAAUCGUCCAUAAAUACUUCCAUGAAUUUUUCCACCAUAUCGUGGAAUAUGGCUGUCAUGCACCGUUGAAAUGUUGCGGGUGCAUUGCAUAACCCAAAGGGCAUGCGUCGAUAUGCAAAAGUCCCACUUGGGCAAGUGAAAGUGGUCUUUUCUUGGUCCAUGGGGUCUAUGGGUAUUUGGAAAUAACCCGAAAAUCCGUCUAAAAAGCAAUAAUAAUUAUGGCCCGAUAAUCUUUCUAACAUUUGAUCAAUAAAAGGUAAGGGAAAUUGGUCUUUACGAGUGGCAUCGUUUAGCUUUCGAUAAUCGAUGCACACUCUCCAACCGGUUACCGUUCCUGUCGGAAUAAGCUCAUUCCUCUCGUUGGUUAUGACCUUCAUUCCUCCUUUCUUGGGCACCACUUGGACCAGACUCACCCACGGACUGUCAGAAAUGGAAUAUAUAAUUCUCGCAUCUAAAAGCUUGACCACUUCUUUCUUAACCACUUCUUGCAUAUUUGGGUUUAAUCUUCUUUGGUGCUGCACAACCGGCUUUGCUCCUUCUUCCAGAUUAAUCUUGUGAGAACAAUAAGAGGGGCUUAUUCCCUUGAUGUCGGUAAUGCUCCAUGCUAUGGCCCGCUUUCGCUUCUUCAAAACUUGAACUAGUUCUUCCUUUUCAGAUUCGGAGAGGUCAGAGGCUAUUAUCACUGGCUUUUGAUGACCAUCUUCAAGGAAAGCAUACUCCAAGUGAUCUAGUAAUGUUUUGAGCUCUGUUUUUUUGAUCUGCAUGGUGUACUCGCUGAGUGCAGGUAAGGGACUCGGUGAGUUGGCAGCUGAAUUCACGAAUUCAAUUUCCUCUUCGCAUGGACUCGGCGAGUAGAUCGGCCCUACUCGGCAAGUUGAUCUGUCAGAUUGCUUCAUCAAUUCUUCAUACUCAGCUUCUUCCAGCAGCCUCUCGAUCUCCAGUAAGUCUUUUUCAGCAUCAAAAUCUUCAUUAAAAAUGGUGGACUUGUUGGGAUCUUCAUUAUCGCAUUCCUUCAUUAAUUCAUCAAGUAUGUCAAUUGAGAAUGCCAUGUCAUCACUAUUCCUUGAAUGCUUCAUAGCUUGAUCAACCCCAAAAGUGACUGAAUCAUCUCCUACCCGUAAAGUAAGCUUCGAGUCUCUCAUGUCUACUAUAGCACUUGUCGUGUUGAGGAAAGGUCUUCCAAGGAUGAUCGGGACUUGAGGAUUCGUCUCCAUGUCUAGAAUUAUAAAAUCUGCGGGAAAUACAAACUUGUCCACCUUGACCAAUAAGUCUUCACAUAUUCCUCUUGGAAAUGUGACCGUCUUGUUUGCUAAGUGAAUCGACAUACGAAUUGGCCUUGGUUCCGGGAGAUCCAGCUUCUUGAAGAAUGAAUACAACAUGAGGUUCACGCUUGCUCCCGAAUCGGUCAAAGCAUGAAUCGUAGCCAAGUCACCAAAUUGGCAAGGAAAAGUCAAGCUUCCCGGGUCACCCUUCUUCUUUGGUAGCUUGUUUAGCAUGGUAGCUGAGCAGUUCUCAUUAAGAACUACCUUUUUUACUUCCUCCAUCUUCCUUCUAUUAGUGAGAAGUUCUUUAAGGAAUUUUGCAUAUUUUGGCAUUUGUGCGACAGCUUCGAUGAAGGGUAUGUUGAUUUGAAGAGCUUUAAUAUGAUCAAGAAACUUCUGGUACUCCUCUUCCUGCUUUUCUCUCUUGGCUCUGGCUGGAUAUGGCAAUGGAGGCUGAAAGGGCUUUUCAGGAAUCUGAUUUUUCGAGUUUGGCAGUGAACUCGGCGAGUAGGCUCUGCUUCAUGAAGAUCUUGAUUUUGGUCUUGAGUUUCUGCAUCCUCCUUCUGCAAUUCUUUGGGUGCUUCAUUCUGAAUAGGGGUCAGAGGAGUGAUUAUCUUCCCACUUCUUGUUGUGACUAUGUUGAUAGGCGCGCCUCGUGGGUUAUUUUCGGUUUUACUAGUAAGUUCGCACGGUGAUCUUUGGUUGAUUUGUUGAGUAAGUUGCCCAAGUUGUGUUUCUAUGUUGUGGAUAGAUGCUUGGUGGUUUCUAAGCAUGGUUCUUGUUUCUUGAAUUGCAACAUCAUGAUCACUAUGUCUCUUUUCUGAAGCAGCUACAAAUUUGGUAAGCAUCUCUUCCAAACUUGGUUUUCUUUCUUGUGCCGACUCCUCCUUUUGGUAAAAACCUCUUCCUUUUUGCUUGUACUUCUCCUCCUUAGCCUUCUUGUACUCUUCAUAAGGGAUCCAUUCUUUCUUUGGUUUUCGCCAAUCUUCAUCAUAUCGGUCCCCACUUGAGUAACAUAGUUGCACCUUCUUGUUGCCAUUUUCAUCCAAGUCGUAGUCUCUAGUAAGAUGAGGCCCAUUGCAGUUUUCACACCCCACCCGUAUAGCAUGUAUCGUUUGGUCCAUUUUGUCCAUCCUCCUAUCAAUGUUUUUCAACAUGGCCAUCACUGCUAAUAAGUCUUCUGAAGCUGCAUAGGCGGACCCCCUUGUUACAUCAUUUCUUGGAUUAUGGUAUUCUCUAGAAUGCUUAGAGAAUUCUUCAAUUAGCUGCUUUAUCACUGGAGGUGCCUUCUUCGUAAGUGGACCUUGCGAAUCAAGUAAUUGCCUUGUUGUAACAUUUAAUCCAUCAUAAAAGAUGGAGACUUCUUGUUGACUAUUGAGGUCAUGAUGCGGGCAAUUCCUUAGCAAACUCUUGUACCUCUCCCAAGCUUUAUAUAGUGACUCUCCAGCUUGUUGUUCAAAGUUGGCUAUGGCCUUCUUGAGCUUAUAUAUCUUGGAUGGUGGGCAGAAUUGAUCAAUGAACUCUUCUUUCAGUUGGGCCCAUGUAGUGAUGGAUCCGGGGGGCAGUGACUUGAGCCAAUCCUUUGCAGCACCCUUCAAUGUAACCGGAAGCAUGCGAAGUAGCUGCGUUUCCCGAGGGAUGUUGGGAACAUUGAAAUAAUCAGCUACAUCAUUAACUUCAUCCAAGUGCUUGUAGGCAUCUUCGUGGUCUUUGCCAAUGAAGGGGAUCUCCUUAAGUAAAGCAAGAAUAUGACCUUUCAGCUCAAAAGUAGCAGUUGCGGGAAUUGCGGGCUGCACAAGUCCUGGUCCAGUGUCAUCGCGCAUCCUCUUCUUACAUUCCCCCAUGGGGAUUUCAUCGAUAUUAGCCAUGGUAAUAGCUAAGUCGUCCUCAAAAUCGGAUUCGUGCUCGUAUGUAGGUUCUUCUUCUUCCUCGGUCUCGUACUCGGUGUCUUCUUUAAUCCGGUCUUCGAUUGUUACAGAGACGCUGGAUGUUCCUGAUUUACUGGUCUUCUUCUAGAUGAAAACGGACUUGAGAUUCUUUAGUGGCGAAUUAUUUGAAGAAGCAGAUUCUCCAACGGGUUUUCCUUUGCUCCUCCUUAGUGCGCAUUCUGGGUCUUCGAGAGGAGGGACCAGAGGUGUAUCAUAUCCUCGGGUCAUGAAACAACUGCAAACAAACAAGAAAAAACCCAUAAAAAGAACAAAAGUGAAACAGAACGAAAACGAAAAACAGUUUGGCAAACAGCAGGGUACUCGCCGAGUAGGUGCGAAUGCACUCGGCGAGUAGACUGUUUAAAACUAAAAAAAUUUAAAAGCUAAUUAAAAGACUUCUAAAACUAUUAAAUUCUAAAACUUAACCUACUUAUUGUAUUACUAAAAAAAUAACUUUGUGCAAGAAAAACUCACACAAAGGAUCUACAAAAUUAGGAAUUAGACUUAAUUUUGGAACCGUUCCCCGGCAACGGCGCCAAAAACUUAAUGUGUGUUUAAUGCACUUGUUUUAUUCCUACUUUUGAAUUAUAAAUUUAGCACACAAAGGUAGUGAACCUGUCUUUUAGUGGUAUAGUUGGAUAAGUAGGGUGUCGAACUCAGGGAACGGAAAUUAAACUAAUAACUAAUUUUAACUAAGCAAGUAAUAAAAGUAAAAGGGUUUUUCUCUAGUUUUGCAAGACUAGAAACUUAAACACACCACCUAAGCACGUGAUUAACUAAACAACUAAAACAAGUAACAAAUUCACCAAAUUUGAUAAAUAGUUUAUGUUUAGGUCCAACCAAUUCACUCCUAUGGUUAUUUAUAUGAUAAUAUGAUAAAUUAAUUGUUAUUGGUUACCAACUAUAGUGGUUAGGUUGAUGUUCAUUACUACUAACCCUUAGACAAUUAAUCAAUUCAAGCAGUGGCCAAUUGUUUAAACUAAUUAAUUCCCUAGUUCAAUUGUUUGGAUUUAAUAAGAUUUGUAAUUGGUUAAUCAAGUUGGUGGUUCAAUUAACCUCUUGUUUGUUGGUUUCUCAAACAAGCUCACACAUUAAUUUACCCCUUCUCUAAUUAAUCCUAGUUUCAUGUUCAUUAUUCCUAGACAUAUGAUAAAGUGUUCACAUAAACAUAUGAGGUUAACAACUAAUAGAUGUGCAUGCAGCUUAAUUGUCUUCCAAUUAACAGAAAAUAGUUGUGGUUAAUGCAUAAGGUUCUUUAACAAACUUAAUUUAAUAAAAUCACCAAUAAACAAUCAAUAAAAAUAAUAAUUAAACCAUAGGAGUAACUUGGUCUUCCUAAACAGAAACAAUAUGAAUUUAGCUCAUGGUUACAGUAAAAACAAACUCAAAAACAAAUUCAACUAGGCUAGACAUGCUUAAUUCCUAAGAUUAAGUGGAAUGUAUAACCUAAAUUGCCUUGAUUCUUCAAAAGAUCGAAGGUUAGGGUUUCUCAUCUCUCCAAAGGGUUCUUCAAUCGCAGGUGUAGCUCCCAAAAGCCAGAAAAAGUCCCUCAAUUCGGAUUAAGACCCCAUAUUUAUAGUUAUCACAAAACAGGGGCUACUCGACAAGUAGGUCGUGGACUCGCCGAGUACCAGGUGAAAUCCGUGUAUGGCCAGGAGUCUUGAAUUAUCUUCGGGAACAUUCUUGGGUACUCACCGAGUAGCCUCGCAGACUCGCCGAGUUGGUGUGUUUUUCCUCUUUCUUCAUUCUUUGGUCUCUAAUUGCUUCUCCUUGUUCCUUUUUACUUCCAAGCAUGUCUUUUGGACUGAAAACAAAAGUUAAGCAUUAUGAAGUACCUUUUGUCCACAUUAUGCACAUAAUUAGCUAAAAAUAAAUAAAAAUGUAUGCUAAACAUAUGACUAAUUAUGCAAAUAUCAGAAAGCAUCGGGUUUUUUUAGGGAAAUCAACACUAUUCACUUGUAUUUUCAAUAACUAUAAUGCAAAACUUCUCAUUUAUACACGCUUUGAAAUCAUUCAUGCAGAAACUUAUGGAUCUUCACACUUUUUUAUAAACAAUUGUCGUUUAAGAAAAUAUCAGAUUUUCUGGGUUUUAUAAACUGCACAAAACAUUUUCAUAUCAACCCUGCUUAUGAACUCACCAACAUUCCAUAUGUUGACGUUUUCAAAAUAACUUGUAUUCUCAGGUAACAGAUAAGCUGAAGAACAAUACCAAGUGUGUUAGGGUGUUAUGUUUUGAAAACUCUCAAAUAAUUUAUGCUAUGGAUAUGUAAUAUUUAGACAAUGUACUUGAUGUGAACAAGGUCAGUUGUAAUGUAUUAAUGCAUGGUGAUGUUUAUGUUAUGUUUAAUGUAUAUUCAUUGUGAUGAUAUUCAAUUUAAAUCAUGCGAGCCCUCGGACGUUUCCGCCGUUUGGUUCGGGGGUGUGACAAUUCACCCCGGGGCCACCAAGAUGUACCGAGACCUGAGUUUAAGUUAUUGGUGGCCAUGUAUGAAGCGAGAAAUCGCUUGGUAUGUCGAGAGGUGCUUGACCAGUAGGAUGGUCAAGGCCGAGCAUCAGAGGUCACAUGACAAGCUGUAGCCUCUGAAGAUUCCCAUGUGGAAAUGGGAACAAAUCACGAUGGACUUCAUUACCAAGUUGCCGAGGCGGCGAAUGGAUUUGAUGCUAUAUGGGUCAUCGUAGAUCGAUUGACCAAGAGUGCCCCUUUAUUGGCUAUUCGGGAGAGUUCGCCGGCCGAGAGGUUGGCCGAAAUGUACGUCCGCGAGAUCGUGUCUCACCAUGGGGUUCCGGUCUCCAUUGUCUCCGACCGAGAUGUUAGGUUUACCUCCCAUUUCUGGUAGAAGUUCCACAAGGAACUGGGUACGCGGUUGCACUUUAGCACAACUUUCCAUCCGCAGACCAAUGGUCAGAUUGAGCGGACCAUUCAGACCCUAUAGGAUAUGUUGAGGGCAUGUGUCAUUGACUUCGGUGGGAGUUAAGAUUCCCACCUACCGCUUGCAGAUUUCACCCACAACAAUAACUAUCAUCCCAGUAUUGGCGCCCCGCCUUUCGAAGUGUUGUAUGGGCGGAGAUAUCGCACCCCGGUUUGUUGGGGUGAGGUUGGACACAAGGUGAUGGGGCGGACGGAAGUAGUCUUGUAGACUACCGAGAAGAUUCAGCAUAUUAGGCAACGAUUGCAGACCGCUCAGAGUCGGCAGAAGAGUUACGCCGACAGACGUCGAUAUGAGUUAGAAUUUCAAGUGGGCGAUAUGGUACUCCUGAAGGUCUCACCGUAGAAGGGUGUGAUUCACUUCAGGAAGAGGGGGAAAUUGGGUCCCUGUUUCAUUGGGCCGUUCAGGAUCAUUGCCAGGGUUGGCAAGGUGGCUUACAGGAUAGAGCUACGGAGGAGCUUAUUCGGAUCCACAACACUUUCCACGUUUCGCAGUUGCGAAAGUGCAUUAUGGAUCAGGAGGCAGUGGUGUUGUUGGAUGAUAUUCAGGUCGAUGAGUGCCUGAGUUACGUGGAGAGGCCUGACAUGUGGCCAUACUGGAGAGGAAGAUGAAAGUUCUGCGAAACAAGGAGAUACCUUUGGUGAAGGUACAGUAGGAGCAUCGGAGGGGGUCCGAGUGGAUGUGGGAGCCAGUGUGACAACCGUCAAUUUUCGGUCAAGUCAAAGUCAACUAAAGUCAACAAGUCAAACCGGUCAACUCAAUUUACCAUGAGUAUUAGAGUUUACGUUAUGUAAUUUCUAAACAACUCUCUAUUCUAAUGAGAAAUCAUAAAUUGAAAAGUGCGUACAUCUAGAUCUCCUUAACCUAAAACUGUGGUACGUGGCGAGCCAAACCGAUAAAACAAUGUUGCAUACUCAUCGGGAGUAUGCAAGAUCCUUAAACAAGGCUUAACGGGGCUUACGGACCCUACAUUGCGAAGCCGAACACUCAAAAAGGUCACCAAUGAAACCUCUCUCAAUCGUGUUCACUCCAUCUCUUCUUAUCAGAAAUCUCUCCCAAAUCUCUCUAAGUAUGUGAAAUCUCUCCCAAAUCUCUCUUUGUAUGAGAAAUCUCUCCAAGAAUGUCAAAUCUCUCCCAAAUCUCUCUAAGUAUGUGAAAUCUCUCCCAAAUCUCUCUUUGUAUGAGAAAUCUCUCCAAGAAUGUCAAAUCUCUCCCAAAUCUCUCUAAGUAUGUGAAAUCUCUCCCAAAUCUCUCUUUGUAUGAGAAGUCUCUCCAAGAAUGUCAAAUCUCUCCGAAAUCUCUCUAAGUAUGUGAAAUCUCUCCCAAAUCUCUCCUUGUAUGAGAAAUCUCUCCAAAAAUGUCAAAUCUCUCCCAAAUCUCUCUAAGUAUGUGAAAUCUCUCCCAAAUCUCUCCUUGUAUGAGAAAUCUCUCCAAAAAUGUCAAAUCUCUCCCAAAUCUCUCUAAGUAUGUGAAAUCUCUCCCAAAUCUCUCUCUGAAUGAGAAAUCUCUCCAAGAAUGUCAAAUCUCUCCCAAAUCUCUCUAAGAAUGUGAAAUCUCUCCCAAAUAUCUCUUUGUAUGUGAAAUCUCCCCAAGUAUGUCAAAUCUCUCCCAAAUCUCUCUGAGUAUGUGGAAUCUCUCUCAAAUCUCUCUCGAAAUCUCUCCCAACUUUCUAUAAUCACUCGGGGCAUCCCGACCCUCGAAUUUGGCGAAAACAGCCCAAAAACGGAAGUCUACGCGAAAAACGGACUUAAGGAACCGAAACCCCUCUUAGGAACCGAAACCCCUCUUAGGAACCGAAAGUCCCCUUAGGAACCGAACCCUCCUGAUGAAGAAGGCUGUUGAACCGAACCGAACCUCACUCAAAGAACCGAACCGAACCUCACUCAAAGAACCGAACCGAACCUCACUCAAAGAACCGAACCGAACCUUCGCUUCUGACCCUUCGGACCGAGCCUUCGGACUGAGCCCCUCGCCUUCGCCUUCUUCUUCUGGUUCGCACUUCGCUUCCGGCUCAGCACCAGCAAGGACCGAACCUCGGCCUAGGGACCGAACCUCGGCCUAGGACCGAGAGGUCUCGCUGGGAACGCUUUUUCUCCCGGUUUUCGACUAAAUUCGCAUUUUAGGCCCGUUUUUAAUUGUUUUAACAUGGGAUUUUCACCCAAAACUUUAUUUUAACAUAUAAGGACCCUUAACUAUUAAUUAAUCACAUUUUUAAGGAUAAAACCUUAUCCAAAAGAGAGUGGGUGAAGUACAAAGGUAGAGUGUUGACUUUACUUAUUUCUAUGACACAAGCAACCACUCCCAUACCCACUCCAUGUCACUAUUCACCACCAGCCCAUCCCUAGUCACUUCAUAGGUCCUUUCUCACUAUUUUCAACUAUUCCCACGUUCUUAGGGCUGGAACAUCCAUCCUCUCUCCUCACACUUUAAUCAUUCUCUCAUUUUUACCAAGAAUCACACUCCAAACUCUCUCAUCUUUUUCUCUCUAAUUCGAGAAUUUCAAGGCAUACUCCAAGACUCUUCUCCUACAAUUAGUAAGUAUCAUCAUCUUUCUUAUGAUUAUUACACAUCCUCCUACUCAAAAUCAAAGAUUGCUUACACAAACAUCAUCACAUUCUUGUUAGAUCUUCGAAUCUUCAAGUGAUUCUUCAAGUGUUCUUGGGUUGAACACUUCUCUUCUUCAACACUUACCUACUGAAAUCACUCAAGGUGAGUUCAUACCCCUACAUUUUCAUGUUUUCUCAAGUUUUUAGGGGGGGAAUACAAGUUAAAACACCAAGAACAUAACUAAACUUUUCUAACAGCCUUCAUCAGAAAAGUUCAACUCCAUUCACGGACUGUUUUGGACAACUUAAACAUUUUAGUUUUCAAAACUGUUUUAGGUGCAUGUAGUUCCACUUCUUAGCUUUAAAAUGACUACUUGCACAUCUCCAUACGAUUUUUCUACAAUUUAUGGUGAUUUUUACAAAACUGCCUAUCAUUUCAAACAUCAAUCCGGACCAGUCUGUGAUUAUGGACUUUUUCACACAAGUAAGAGGUCAUUAAAAAUUAUAAUAAAAAUUAUGAACAAACUAGACUCAUUUUCCAAACUCUCAGAAGUUACAGAACUUGAUUUGGACAUUUUAUGAUUUUUCUACAAAUUUUCCAAUAACAGUUACAGAAAAUGUUAUUAACAGAAAAACACUAUAAAUUUCAUUUCACCUUGUAACAUGUUGAGCAAGGUAUACAUCAUUAUGUGAUUAUGUGUUGUUGCAAUAUAUGACAAUUUUGUAUUCUUAUAUAGACAUACAUCAGAAAACAAAUGGAUUUAUACCUCCACAAGUAUGGUAAAUAUAUAAAUGAUAUUACAAGGCUAUAUCCAUUAAAAUAUAAACAUUGGUAAAUUAUGACAAGUAAGGCUUAUGCUCACUACCCACACAAAUAAUUAAUAAACUAUAAUAGGUAUAGUUUAGGGUUAUUUUACAUAACAAACACAUGAUUAAAGGUUUUACACAUACAAAAGAGUUAUUACCACUAUGGAUAAUUAUGAUAAACUAUAAUAAGUAUAGUUAAGCCAUUAUACCCCCACAAACGAACACGCUAGUUAUAAUCGGUAUAGUUAUGGCAUAUAUAUAUUACAAACAAAGUGAUAAACUAUAAUAGGUAUAGUUUAUGUUUCAUCUACCCUAUGAACUUAAUUACAAGAAAGGAAUUCACCAUCACCACCACUUUUGGUAAACUAUAAUAUGCAUAGUUCAUGUUCACUAGUCACUAUCACUAUUUGAUGAACUAUGAUAUGUAUAGGUUAUAUUCACCAUCACCACCACUUUUGGUAAACUAUAAUAUGCAUAGUUCAUGUUCACUAGUCACUAUCACUAUCCGAUGAACUAUGAUAUGUAUAGUUUAUGUUCACAGUCACUACUACUAUUUCAUACACUACACUAGGGUUUGGUUCCGGUUUUUGGAUUUAAGUCCACAUUAAAUUUUCGCAUUGUUAGACUUCAACUAUAAUCGUUGAGCGUAUAUGCUUGAGUCAUACAAGAAUUUAGUCUGGAUUGGCUUAGAAUUGGUGGUGCCCGCCUCAUCUCCUGUUCCUCGUUGGGUUGUGGACCUAGGGCAGACCCACUAUAUUCAACGUUUUAUCUAACUUAAAUCUUCUAUAACUUAUAUACGCUGGACGAUUAUAGGGGAAAUCUACGGGUCAAUCUAGGGUUCAUUAAUACAUCAUAUAGGAAUAUGCUGUUUACACUUAACUAAGAAAAUAUUGGAUUUUCUGGAAAUCAACUCUAUCGAUUUUAUAAGGAAAACGGUUUCUACUCCAAACAAAAACUCACCAACUUAAUUGCUGACNGUAUUCUCAGGAAAUCAGUGAAACAGGAAAACUUCAGCGCUUUGAGGAUGGGACGUUAAACCGUCAACAAUUUAUUUUUGUCAUCAUAAUGUAAUUGAUUUUGAAACAUGUAAACAUAUACUUUGGUGUAACUUUUUCAAUUAUAUUUAUGAUGGUUGUAUUUACUUUGAGCACUAUUAUACACGUUGUUGUGAUAUUGUACAUGAAGUCCUCCACCCCCUGACGUUUCCGCCAUCCUUGGUUUGGGGGUGUGACAGCCAGAGGCAGAGAUGCGGGAGCACUAUCCGAAGUUGUUCGCCGCGGCAGACUUCGAGGACGAAGUCUAGUUCAAGUGGGGGAGAAUUGUAACCCCCCGAUUCUCAGGUAUCGAUUUUAUAUAAGAAUUUUCUUGAUUUCAAGGUCUACUCGACGAGUUGGUUGCCCUACUCGUCAAGUAGAAUCGGAUUGGUCCGCGUGUUUUAGUGACCUACUCGCUGAGUCCAAGAAGGGACUCGACGAGUAGGAGCUGGCAUAUGAAACCCUAAAUUUUGGGGUAUUUCACCCUAUUUAAAGGAUCAUUGGCCUCCCCAACCUCCCCUUUACAACUCCUUGACACUCUUAAACCCUAAAUCCCGUAUGUGUGUGUUUCUUUGGUGUGUUAAAGCUUGGAGGAGGGAUCUUGGUGAGGGUACACUUGGGGAAAACAUAUAAACUGAAGUAAGGAACUCGUGGGAAGCAAAGAUCUACUUCAGUUGGCAUUCUCUUGAAGGUAUUAGGCUGUUUCCUUGGCUCAUUUCAUCUUUAAUCUCUUUGGGUGGGUUUUAGGAAAGGGUUCUUGUGUUUGAGCCAAGAUCUGAAGUUGCAACUUCAGAUCUGGACUCCCUUUGGCCUCUAGAUCCAUAAAUUUAUCAACUUUGGCAAGUAUGAACCAUCCCUCAAGUGUGAGACUUCCUUACAAGCUUGGUGUUGUCAUUCUAAGACUUUAGAGCUUUGCAUGCACGUAAAGUUUGCAACUUUACGUGAUAAACAUGCCUUGGGAAACUGGAUCUACAAUUUGGAGCCUUAGCAUGGCUUAAAAAGCCUCUGUAUGGAUGAAGGACUGAAGGGACUCGGCGAGUCGCAUGGUCGACUCGGCGAGUCCGAUGAAGAUUGUCGUGGGCCCAGUGAGUCAGAUGAGAGACUCGGCGAGUCGGCUAGGGUUUUCCCAACCUUUGGACACGUAUGAACGCGGCGAGUGUAAAGGGAAAACUCGGCGAGUUGGCCAAGGAGUUACGGCCACUGACACUAGGAACUCGACGAGUCAGUCAAGUGACUCGGCGAGUUGGCGAGUCAUGUCAGGAACUCGGCGAGUAGCUGAGGGUACUCGACGAGUUGAGGUCAACAUGGACUGUUGACCUUGAUGGGUAUUAACUUAUUAUUUAUGGUGUGAUAGUGUGGGAUUCUAGGGAGACAACAGUCAGAAAUUUGGAGUACUUCAACACUACUUGCGGGGUGAGUCAUCCUCAAUAUAUCAAUAGGGUCUAUGGCACCAAGGCCGACUCUUUAUGGAUUGUACUCGGUUAUGGCAUGAUAUGUUAUUGAUUACAUCCUGGUAGUUAGGGUGGUGAUAUGCUUAUGUGUAGCGAUCUGGUUAGGUCAAUGUCCUGAUUAUAGGAUGAUGCUAUGUUAGUGACCGAUAAGGUCUGUAUCCCGGCUAUUGGGAUGUUGCUAUGAUUAGUGAUCUGUUAGACUGGUUUGACUGUUAUAUGAUAUGAGCUAACGUGUGAUAUUAUGUGCAUGUUUGUUUGAUUGGGGUUGGGUUGAGGCGGUCUUGCUUUGUGCUGAAGGCCAACAUACCCAGUGAGCGGUCCAGGUAGGCUGUAGGUCCUGCGAGGCGGUCCAGUCAUGCCGAAGGCUCGGGAGCGGUCCAGAUAGGUUGUAGGCCCUGCGAUGCGGUCCAGUCAGGCUGAAGGUUCAUUAUGCAUGCUGAUUUGUAUUUGUGGAUGUGAUAUGAUUAUGGUUAUAUGAGAUUGGUAUUUUAGGGGAAACUCACUAAGCUUUCGGGCUUAUAGUUUUCAGUUUAUUGUUUUAGGUACAUCAGGGGAUCGUGGCAAGGUGAAGGCAUGAUCGUACAAUUCCUCAUGAUUUGUUUAUGUUUCCGGGAAAACUUUGAUAUUAUACAUUUUGAAAACAAAUUUGUAAUGAUUUUAAUGGUUUGAAAUGUUUUAAAAGUUCAAAUUUGUCUUGAAAUUUUUGGGUGUUACAAUACAUGUCAUAAAAAGCACGUCAUAAAAAUUUUGUAGUAUUUCAAGGAGGCAUGUAUAUUUAUAUGUUUAAAUACAUAAAGUUUAUACAUGCACAUAUAUUGAGACAUACCUCUUUGUGAAAGAAAGUGCCUUACACUAUACAUACCAGAUAUACUCGACUUUUAUAAACUCUAUACAAUUCAUUUCGCCUAGUAACUUAUUUACUUAUAAGUUAGGGACGAGAGCUAUUCACGUUCCAUAAUUAAGGGUGUUUUGGUGAGACUAUAUUCAUUAGCUAAGUCUAAACACUUAACAUACCCAUACUACUAUAACCGUUAAUCUUCGGAGCGAGAUACAUAUGUAUAGAUCUAUACGGGGUUGACAUCCCCACCUACGGUUGCUAGCUACAACCUUGACCGAUCAAUCGAAAUGAAUGAUAAGUGUCUACUAUUGUUACUUAGACGUCCAAUGAAGCGUUGUAGCAGGUUACAUUCAGUCACAUAUCUCGAUUAUAUAACUCACUAUAAACAUUAACUAGAAUCUCUCUUUCUCUCUCUCUCUCUCUCUCUCUCACUUCGACCCAUAAACUUGAUUCUUUCAAAACUAUUUUAUGUAUAGAUUUACUUAUACAAAGAUACCUCUUGAUUUUCUAAGUUUUUUCAAAGACUCUUUACACACAAAACUUUAAGUAUGGUUUUACUUACCAAGAAAAUGCUUUUUAAUACUUUUAAAAGUGUUACUAUGGUUAGCAAAAAACCUAUAAUUUCUCACCAACCUUGUGUUGACCCUCAGAACUGCAUGUAUUCUCAGGAAAUCGAUAAUUAAGCAUUCAGACGUUGGUUAGCCAUGGAUUUCAAGCAAUCUAAUUAACUAGUUUUUGUUAUGUCUGCCUACCUGUUUAAGACAAUUUAUGUACUAUACUAUUAUUUGUAAGAAACUUGUAUUCAAACAUCAAGAAGGAAUACAAAUGUUGUUUUGUUUAUUGUUGUACAUGUGCUAUAUGUUCAGUUUACCUGUGAUCCAUGAACUUAGUCGCACAACCCGACAUGUUCCGCCGCCUCGGCCGUGCAUGUGACAGUAUGGACCAAGUUCACCUCCUCCAUCCAAGCUCCAUGGACGAGCGUUUAAUGAAGAUAUUUUGAGAGAGGUUUAUGAGUGUUGAAUGUUCGAGAGAUAUGAAAAUUUCAGGUUUAAGGGUGGUAAAAAUGAAGAUGGGUGGUAUAAAGGCCAACUGACGAAGGUACAUGCCGGUAUGGUCACGUUUUCGUGGGUCUGUAGGUUGCUACAAAGUAAAAUGCGACUUGCUGAUGAAUGCUCUGCCUCCCUGGAAGGAGGUAUCGAGGGGUGGUUGCAUGUCGAUAAUUUUGACCUAGAAGUAUAAGAGUUGUGAUCCGGUGCUGCAAUGUGGGAUCAUACUUGGCAUUAAAAGAAAGACCAUCACAAGCUGAGUAUCCUGUAACCCUGUUGACCGAGAAAACGAAGACCAUGUCACUGGAUUAGCUUGUCAUUGGAUUCAAAAGGGGGCGUCCUAGAACAAGGGCGUUGUUUGUCUAGUCGUUGCCAUCUAACCAAGUCGCUGAAGAGCUUGACAAUAAAGAGCACCGUAUCUAAUUAGAUUGAACUGGUCCGAAGCUAGCGCCACUUUCCUGAUAAGCCCAUAGCAAGGCGAAACUAGUUGUUAUCAAGGUUUUACACUGACAAAAAUAGUACCAAACUUUAAUGUACAAACUUCGACAAAAUUAUGUAAAAAAAAAUCUCCAAAUCCAUGUUGUAAAUUGCAAAUAGACUCUUUAAUAAAACUAAUCAUUUAAUCUUCAAAUUAUCAAAUGAGGUUGGCUAAAAAGACACCUUAUUUUAUCAUUUAGACAACCCUAAUUAAUUUUUAAAAUAUUUUUAUCGGUUAAAAUUACAUCAUUUUUCGAAAAAACUUAUAUUUUUAUAAAAGUGAUGGACAGGACUUGUAAGGGCGUCUAUCAAAACUCAAAAGAAUACAAGUAUAUUAUAAUCACUCCGCGAUAAAUCUAGAAAAAGAGGCAUGGGAAGAGACUGGCAAUUGCCGCUAAAAGCGGACACCCGCUGAAUUUUGCAGAUAUAAAUUCUGCAAAUUCCAUUCGCCAUUGCUAGAUCCCAAGAAAAACACUCACACUACUUUACGGCUCAAUAUUUUUAUUUCAGAUUUUUGUUCUUUUCUGUCUCAAUUUGCUUUAAUUUACUAGAAAAUUUCGUAAAUUUAUGUGGGUAGUCGACCAUUUCUUCACAGUAGUUUAGUUUGUUGAGAUUUCGUGCAAUGCCGUGGUGAUUCAUCAGAUCUAGCUUAGAUUCCUUAUUUUUUUUCCUCUCAUUAAGGUUUUCCUGAUUUCGUUUAGAGAGAGAAAAAUCCUUAUCCGUUUGCUCUGGAUUUAGGGCUUUACAUUUUCCGUUUCGUUUUGUGUAAUUAUUGAGUGGAUAUGCCGAUUUGUAAAUCUGUUUAAGGAAUUACAUUUUGGUAUAGAUGGGUUGCUUUCCUUGCCUAAGAUGUCGUUCUAAAGAUGUUAAAAAUUGCGAUGGCGAUUUGGAUUCCAAUGAGUUUCCAGGUUUAGUGACCGUUUUUUAUCAUAAUCAUUAUUACGAUUCCUAAUCAGCUAUUACUCGUUAUGCAUUAGUGAUUACUUUACUUCCCUUUUUGGGUUCUUAAUCAAUUUGUUUCCAAUUGCAGAUAAUGGGAAGGGAAGAAGAACGUAUAACGACGUUAGUGGUAAGAUUAUCGAACCUUAUAGAUCUAUUUUUGGGAGAUUUAUCGAAAUAAUGUGUUUUGAUUUUUGAACAAUGAGGUUUGGUUGGAAUUUGUGUUGUUGGUGUGUAGAUGGGAAAUGUGUGGAUUCAAUGAGAGGAAAAGGUCAAGCGUGGUGUGGUCAGAGGGCUAAUGUGGCAAGAAGCUUUACAUUUCGUGAGCUUGCUGCAUCUACACAGAACUUCAGGGUUGCUAAUUUGAUUGGUGAAGGUGGAUUUGGAAGUGUUUACAAGGGUCGAUUAGAAUCAGGGAAGGUAAAGCAUUCUAGUUUCACAAUUUUGUUUUUACUUAUAAUCGGAAAGAUCUAAGGAAUUCAAUUCCAUUCCAAUCCUUUGGUUGCAAAUCGCUAAGGAAUUGAAUUCCGUUGGAGUUACAAAAUCGUUUGAUCUGUGGAUUUUAACGUUCGUUUCUAAAAGCAAUGGAAAUCAAUCCCCCCAUCAUUCUCUAGAAUUUCACAAGCAAACUCCUCUUCCCUCUUCUUCAUCGGCUUCCCUCUUCUCGCUUAGAAAUUUCAUUCCAAGUCAAAAAAAUGCUUUGACAUAAUUCAAUUUCUCUAGAUUCCAGUUCCGUUUAACAGAAAUUUAUCAUGAAGAUGAUUUAUAGUAUCCAACAUAAACACCUUCAAAGGGUUUUUGUAUGUGUGUUUUUAAAGUGAUUUUUUGACUUGAAGAAUGAGAAUUAGAUAAUCAGUGAUUAAAAGUUUGUUCAAAAUGAUUAUUGCGAACUAAAAUCUGAUAUAAUUAGUUGCUUAUGGGCAUGUCCAACCCAACACCAUUUUCAACACCAAAAAUGGUGUUAAUUAUUUCAAGUUUAAGUUUAUAUAUUUCAUUUUAGUUUAAUUAUAUAGUUACAUUUUAAAUAAAUUUAAUAAUUGCUUCAAGUAUAUCUAAAAAGAUCGAAUACGUUGUAAUUAUUUAUAUAAGAAUUAUUUGUUUGAUACAUGCUUAAUUAUGUAAUUUAUAUAGCUUUUGUAACAAAAAGUCGUAAGGCAAUUUUGUAAAAAGUUACUAAAAAUAAAGGGUACUUCUGAAAAUCUAAAUACGUUAGGAAAAAGAGAAUAUACUUGGAAUAUUCUUUCUAGUCUUAUUGCACCAUUUUUUUUUUGCAAAAAAGGUGUUAUGGUCGGAGAUGGUCUAAAGCUAAGAGUAGUUUGCUGUUUUCUUAAUUAUCAAAAUCUGUUUAUUUUGACCCAAAUUAAUCAAAAGAUAAAAAUCUUAAUCAGUUUAUCUAGACACUCAAAUCUGAUGAAUACGACUUUAAAUCACAAUAAUUAUGUAAAGUUAUGUAACUUUAUAUAUGUUUCAAUAACCAGUUUUCUCACAACAAUUUCUCGUAUACUUUUCACCCAAAAUAAUCACUUUUAUUCAAACACAUCCAAAACUGACUAUUAGUUUAAUUUAAACCACUUCCAAACACUCCCUAAACAGUAGAAUUACUAUUUUUUUUUUCUUGUGAUUAAUAUUCUUCCAAUAGUUUGUGACAUGUUUAUUUUUUUAAUGAACAGAUAGUUGCCAUAAAACAGCUGAACUUGAAUGGGCUUCAAGGGAAUCAGGAAUUUAUUGUGGAGGUUCUUAUGUUGAGUCUUCUUCGCCAUUCAAAUCUUGUCACAUUGAUUGGUUAUUGCACAGAUGGAGAUCAGAGACUUCUGGUGUAUGAGUACAUGCCUUUGGGUAGCCUGGAAAAUCAUCUUUUUGGUAAAAAAAAUUAUAUUUAUUUUAUUUUCCAAAUCACUUAAGAAAUAAAACCAAACUUUGAGAAACUAAUGUAUUAAAUGUGAUUACAAAAACCAUACUUUGAGAUAACUUUAAAUGGUUUGACCCUUUUUUGUAAUUUUAAUUCAAUCGACUUCUUAUCAAUAACAAAUACGGCAAUAUUAUAAAUUGAAAUUAUAAGUCGCUGUUUAUUUUAUAUAAAUAAUGAUGAUCCAAAAUUACAAAUCACAUCAAUUACGUUCCAUUGUAAAAAUAAACGAAGAUUUAUUAUUUUUUUUUAUUGCAGAUUUAGAGUCUCAUCAAGAGCCAUUGGAUUGGCACACGCGACUAAAGAUUGCAGUAGGUGCAGCACGUGGUCUAGAAUACCUCCAUUGCAAAGCAAAUCCACCUGUAAUUUAUCGCGAUUUAAAAUCAUCAAACAUUUUGUUGGAUAAUGAUUUCAAUACAAAGCUUUCAGAUUUUGGGCUUGCUAAAUUGGGCCCAGUAGGUGACAACACACACGUGUCUACCCGUGUUAUGGGCACCUAUGGCUAUUGUGCGCCUGAUUAUGCAAUGAGUGGUAGACUUACCCUAAAGUCUGAUAUAUACAGCUUUGGUGUUGUGCUUUUGGAGCUUAUUACUGGGCGUAAAGCAAUUGAUAUGACUAAAAAAUCUGGAGAACAGAAUUUGGUUUCAUGGGUAAGUUUCUUUUUUUAAUUAUUUAUUGGGUUUGAAUGGAAAUUUGGAUUUGGAAUUUGAAUCGGUUUAUGUGAAAAAGGGUUAUUUGGAGUUUGUAUAUUAGGAAACAUACAGAAAAAUCACUUCACUUUCGAUAUUUUAACUAUUUUUUUGUAGUGAUUUAAAAAAUCAUUUUUCUAGUUACCGUAUUUUGUUCUCAGUGCAAAAUAUGCAAAAUAUAAAUACAGAACAAUCUCGAUUUCAUUGAUUUAACAACUAAAUAAAUUAUUAUUACCAAUAUAAAAGUAUAAAUAGUUUUUUUGUAAAAUUGGGUAAAUGGGAAAAAUGUUUUUUAGUAGUUCGUCAAAAAAAAAAAAAAAAAAAAAAAUCAGAACCUAUACUAGUUAAGUGGAUAAACAGGUAAACUGAUGAAAGUAUGUCUCGCUUUUUAGUAUUUUGCUUUUAUGUGAUAAUGGGUUAUUUAACUGCAAGAAAUAACAACUUACCAUCAUUAAUUUGUUUAUUACAACAUCUUACUUUCAAUUCUUCCUAUUUUAAAAAAAAUUCUACCCGAUUUAAACAAUGUCAUCAACUUACAAAUCAAUUUUCGUCCUUAUAAUUGUUUACAUUUUUCAAAACAUAAUGUCUUCAUUUAAAAAAAAAAAAAUUCAAAACUACAAUGCUAUAAUUUCAUAAAAUUUUCAAAGCACAAUGCCUUAAUAGGAAAAAAAAAGUUAAAACACUACAAUGUUUUAGUACACAAAUAAACAAAACUACGUUGCUAUUUCCUUCAUUGAUAAUAUAUAUCUUUUAAUUUCAAUUAAAUAUUUUUGUAGUCACGCCCAUUCUUAAAAGACCGAAAAAAAUUCGUUCAAUUAGCGGAUCCAUUACUCCAAGGCCACUUUCCCGCCCGUUGUAUGCACCACGCGGUGGCCAUAAUCGCAAUGUGUCUUCAAGAACAAGCAAAUUUCCGGCCAUUAAUCGGUGACAUAGUGGUUGCUCUAGAGUAUUUGGCUUCUCAAGCUGAGACACCCGAAAACCCUAAAAGCCCAACCACCACCUCCCGCCCACCUGCCGCCUCUCGCCGCCCAUCACCCUCAAAAGCUUCAAAAACACCGACUUUGUGAUAGUCACCCAAAGAUUCUUUAAAAGGAAUGGGAUUGUGUUAUUCGAAGAGGUUAAGACCACAAGAUUUAAUGAAGAUGAUGGGAUGAUUGGUUUAUUGUGAAGCAUAAGGUAUGCAAAAUCUCAUUUGUGUUUUGUUUUCGUAUUUUGUACUAGUUAAAUGCUUAUUUAUGCAAUAAUGUUUUUAUUUUUUUUAUUUUUUUAAUAUUAGUUUAUGCAACAAAGUGGUUUUUUUCGGAAAUUGUAUUAGGCAAAAUACAGAAAAACCAUUAUAUUUUGGGUAAUUUUGCAGUUUAACCUCUUAUAAAAGUUUGAGAUAUUUUUCCAAUUUAACUAUUUUUUGGUGUUAUAUAUAUAUGAUGUUCCACCUGUAAUUUUUUGUUAUGAGGUUUAACUAAUUUUGCCAUUCAAACCUUUUAUGUUAGGUUAUUUUUUGAAUUUUAUUGUUUUAAAAUGGUUAAAUUGGAAAAAUGUUUGAAACUUUUAUGUUUUGAUUGGAAAAAAUAUAUAGUAUAAGAGAUGAAACUGCAAAUUUUUUCCAAUUAUAUGAUGUUUUAUUUAUUUCUUUUUAAUCUGUCAUCAGUUAAAUGGUAAUUUAUGCAAAAAUAUUUUAUUUUUUUUAUCAACUAACGUGAAAUAUGUAAAUCAUGUUUCAACUUGUUAAGCAAGUUGCUGGCAUUAGAAGAGAACACCCUUAUUUCAUAUCUUGCGUAAGCACAUAUUGGUUUUGGAAAUCAUUUGAAUAAUCAUGAAAUGCCUAAAAUGCCCUUUAUUAAAAAAACACUAUCAUGGGAAGUCCCAAAAUGCAAAUUGUUGUACUUUUCGUUAGGCAAAGGGAGCAAGUAAUGUCAAAUUACCGAUAUAACCCUGAGAAGAAAAUUUGAGCUUUUGGAGGAAAAUAACCACUUUUCAUUUAAAGUUUACUGAUUUCUAAACUUUGUUGCUGCAGGUAUGAUACUUUUGCAAGGAUGUGUAUAAUGUCAACUUUGAUGUCUCAAGUGGAAUCAUAUAUUUUAUAAGUGCACAUAUCUCAUUAGUUAAAAGGGAAUUUGAUCAAGCUGUGGAUAAAGUUUAGGUUCCUCUCCACCUUUGAAGUGAAAUUUAUGACAGUUUCAAUGUAAUAUGUAAUUAUAGUUUAAAUUUUGAUUAAAAUAUUGAAUAUAAUUGUGAAUUUGCAUGCAUUUGGUUGUGUUCUUGCCUAACGUAGUACGUGAAAGUGUGAAACUCUUAUUAGGACUUUUAUAUUGCAAUUAUAAGACAAAUCUUUGGCACCCGUUUAUAGAAUAUCAAGUUUAGUCUAAAUCUUUUUGGACUCAUUGAAGGUCCAUGUGAUUUCAAUUUCAAUCAUUGACCAACUUAAAAAGACCUAUCUAAUUUUUUUAAUUUAUUUUACAUUUUUUUGGCUAUAUUUUUAUUUAAAAAAGGAAAAAGAAAUAAAAACACUUAACCUACCCCAUCUACAUUCCUUUUCUUUUGUCUUCCUACUUUAUAAACUUUAGCGGAGAAAUUGAGGUGAAGAAAUUGAGAGACGAUGGUGAUCAGGAGAUCUGACGGAGAAAUCUCGAGCGACGAUGACGAUAAGAAAGGUUGGUAGUGUCGGUGGGUUUGUGUGUUGGACGUGUGUUAGUGAACCUAGAUUGUGAAUAUCCGGUGACAUGAGCUUCAUCAAUGCCGCUGUUCAAAAUUCCAUCAAAACGCGACAUGUAACAGUGAACUUUGUGGAAAUUUUCAUCUGUGUCAUCUUCAUAUGCCCUAUUUAUGUAACCGAUUUCCAGCUGGUUUCAUAUGUGUGGAAAUCUUUGUCUUAGCCACUUAAGGCUCCAAUCAAAUGGCCUAAAAGUUCUGUUAAUUGAACACAUUAGAGUUUUGUGGUAGCGGUUGUGUAACACCGUAAAUUUUCAAACAAAAUUUUCAUUUUAAAAUCACAUGAAUCUCAUCAAUACAUUUCACAUAUCCCCAAAAUAUCAAUUUAUUAAAACACAUAUUCUUAAUUGUUAAAACAAAAUCCAUGAUCCUCAAACAUAACUCCGUCUCGUGUGUACAAUCAAGCCGACGCCUUCCCGUGAUUUUGAGAAGUACUUAAAACACAUAAAACAUAACACGGUAAGCACAAAGCUUAGCGAGUUCCCCAAAAUACCACACACAUCUCAUUAGCCUUUCAUGGCUAUACUUAAUAGGACCCUCCAGUCAAUGUGUCUCAGUGGAACCCUCCGUUCCCACAACUCGGGUGGACCUUCCGGUCCUAACUCAGUAAGCUCAGAAUAAUACACAACAUAAAUUACAUAGACAUAAUGCAGAAUAUCGUUGAUGAACACGAUCACCGAUCGAUCCAACAUGGGCCUGCACACCCGGUUCAUGAGAUCCAUGAACGAUGUUGGUGUGUUGGUGAGCCCGAAAGGCUUCACCACAAAUUCGUAAUGCCCAUAACGAGUUCUGAAGGUCGUCUUCUGGAUAUCCUCCUUGCAAACUCUCAUCUGAUGAUAUCCAGAUCUCAAAUCAAUCUUGGAGAACCAAGAUGCUCUCUGCAACUGAUCGAAUAAAUCGUCGAUCCUCGGUAGCAGAUAAUGGUUCUUGACCAUCAGCUUGUUCAACUCCCGGUAAUCAAUGCACAUCCGGUGUGAACCAUCCUUCUUCUAAACAAAAAGGAUAAGUGCUCCCCACAGCAAGCUACACGGUCUGAUGAAAUCCUUCCCCAACAGCUCUUGGAGCUGUGAGGAUAACUCCUGUAUCUCUGGUGGUGCAAGGCGAUAAGGUGCCUUGGCAAUAGGCGCCGCUCCCAGAACCAAAUCAAUCUGGAACUCCACCUACCUCUUGGGAGGCACACUCGACAACUCUUCGAGAAAAACAACCGGAAACUCGCACACUAUCGGAACCUCAGAGAUAGAACUCGGCCUCUCUGUAGCAACCCACGUAUCCAUCACGUACUCCAAAAAGCCCAUAUAUCCCUGCUGUAGACUAUGUCUUGCCCUGGCAGCAGAGCAGAAAGCUGAUCCAGAUCUGGUACCCUCACCAUACACCGUAAGCACUCCCCCACUAGGGUCUCGUAUGGUCACCAUAUGACGCUCACAGUCGAUCAUAGUUCCAAGCUGACUCAACCAGUCCAUGCCCAUUAUGACACAGACAUCACCCAUCGCGAUUGGUACCAGGGCUAUUGGGAACUCAACACCAAAAAUCUCUAGUACACAUCGUCGGAAUACAUCAGUAGCGAAAACCACAUGCUCGUCGGCUAUAGAAACCCUCAGAGGUUGACUCAACGCCUUACGUCAGAUACUGCGCGGACCUCCUCCGUUGUUAGCUAAAAAGCUCUCCCGCAAGCCCCCGGAGCCUCGGACUUCACCAACCGACUAUCAGUAGCAUGCAAAGCAGCAGGAGUGGAACCUUGGGCUGAUCCCUGAAUGAGCUGAGGGCACUCGACCUUCCGAUGGCCAGUCUGGUUGCAGUGAAAGCAAACUACAAACUCCUUAGGGAAAUCCUUCGCCAUAUGCCCCUCUUUGACACAUUUGUAGCAAAUCCCUGCCCGAAAUGAUCCCUCGUGACUCUUGUCGCACUUGCCACAAGUGCGACCCUUCUGGCCCCCAACUCUAGUAUUAGCGGGCUUAGCCCGGUUCGUCGCCGGCUGUGACUACACUGGUCUCAGGUCCUUCCCUCGGGACUCUCCCUCCUCCCUGGCCUGUAACUCUAACUCAAUCUCCUUCCGCCUAGCAUUGGUCGGAAGCUCAGUCGAUGUCCGGUAUGACGAUUUUGCCACAAAAUCCCGUAGAUACCUCCUCAGUAUGAUCAGACAUCGACUCACACGUGCUUGCUCAGAAGACACGUGCUCAGGGAAAAACAACGCCCUCUUAUGGAACAUCCUCAUGAUCUCAGUCACAAUUUAUGUCUUCUGCUUGAGAGACAUAAACUCCCGGGCUAACCGUUCCCUCUCCACCGGGGGAACAUACUCAUCUCGGAACAGCUGUGUAAACCUCUCCCAUGUCACUGCAGCAUGAUUUGCAGGAGUAAAUCUGGUAGUCACAAACUUCCACCAGUCCUUCGCCUGUAAGUGAAGUUGGUUCAGUGCAAACCAAACUCUCAAGUGAUCUGGGCAUGAACACGUAUAAAAGCAUCCCUCAAUAUCAAAGAUCCAUCUCAUGGCAGCAAUCGGAUCUUGUGUCCCAUCAAACUCUGGUGGCUUCGUGUUGCUGAACUCUCAGAACAACAACGAGUCACCUCCCUAUGGCCUAGCAACAGCUACAGCUGUGGUGGCUGCAGCAGCAUAACGCUCAUCAAAUUUCUCAAUCAGUGUGGUCUUAAUAGACCCAAACAUCACCGGUAUCGCCUCUCGAAUAGCUGCGACCACCUCCUCAUGAAUGAUCCGACGGAUCUCCUCGUCAUUGGCACUACCGCCCUCAGGGUUGUGGCGUGUACCCACCAUGAUGUCUCUGAAACACAACACAAAAAUCAUCAGAGACUCGCUCAAGCAUACUCACACUUGAUUUCCCGCCCCAACAUGCUCCUUAGUACCCUAAGGAUUCUUACUUGGCUUGCAUACUGAUCCAGUGUUUUCAGUAUUACAGCCCAAUACUACCUUCCACACCAACCUGUAGUCACCCUAAGUCCUCCUCCUAGGAUUCCAAUUCACAAGUACUCUAUCUCUCACAGAUAUCAGACUUCUCUCUCAGUAGACUCCUCAUAUACUCAUCUAGAUAUCUCUCCUAGAUUAUCCCUGGACCCAGAACUCUUUCUAAGUGAUUCCUACUAGAUACUCCUUCUCAGCACAUACUCAAGGCAACAACAGAUAUCAACAACUCCUAGUAUUUCCUUUAUGUUUCCUUUCUUUGACCCAAAGGUAGCUUUUAUUUGUUUUUUUUCCCUUCAUUACUUUAAUGUUUUGUCUUCAUAUGUGCGGUCUUCUUUGCCACUUUGGCUAAUAUUAUUUUCCUACGUGUUUUCCUUGUGACGUAUAUUGGGUGUUCGUUGAUUAUAUUGACCGACCUUUCUUUUUUUGUUUUUCUCUUCUUUUGCUCUGGGUAAUUUUCUUAUGCCUCUUCUUCUUUGCUUUUUAGUAUUUCCUCUGUUAGGGUUUUAAUUUGGUUUCCUUCGGUACAAUGAAUUAUUUUCUACUGUUUGUUUCAUUUGUUCGUCAAUAUGCCUAAGGGUCGGAAACGUAACAUUAUUGAGUAUGGGGAGUGCUCUGUGUUUGCUGCUCCUGCUACGCGUAGAAGUAAACGGUCGCGACUUAUUGCUUUUGUUGCUCUUCCUACAUACUAUGACUGUGGUGAUUGUGUUUGUGUUUGUCGGUUCUGUGGAGCUCUUUUUUAGUAUGCUGAAAGGGUUAGAAAUCGUUAUAAAACCAAUUGUCCUAAGUAUAAUCACUGUUGUAAGGGAGGUUCUGUUAUGCUGCCUCUUCCGCCAACACCUCCUUCUAAAAUUUAUAACCUUUAUCCAGACAUUGGUUUUUUGAAUGAUAUAAGAGGUUAUAAUAGUAUGUUUUCCAUGACAUCUUUUAGGGAUGUUGUUGAUAAGGAUAUUAAUAGUGGUCGUGCACCAUAUGUUUUUAAGGUUUCAGGUCAGGUUUGUCAUUGGAUAGGGUCUUUAUGUCCUGAUGACUCUAAAGGUCCAAGGUUUUGCAGAUGUAUGUUGUUGAUACUGCUAAUGAGGUUUCUAAUCGAUUAAAGGUCGUUCAUGAUCCCGGUAAGAGAGAUUUGGAUGCUGGUAUUGUGUGUGUUCUAAUGGAAUCCCUUUCUAAUCACAAUGAAUAUGUUAGGACAUUUAAAAUAGCUAAGGAGAUGGGUGAGGUUAUGAAUUUGGAUUCUUAUGCAGUUCGUUUGUAUAGUAACAUCCCAGAUCGUAGAUACGGUUCACUAGCACCUGGAACUUUAGGUUGUAUUGUUAUCGGUGAUGAUGGUAAUUCAAUCGGCUAUGAUAUUGUUGUCUACUCUAAAUCUGGUUCACCAGCACCUGGCACUUUAGGUUGUAUUGUUAUCGGUGAUGAUAGUAACUCAGUCGGCUAUGAUAUUUUUGUCUACUCUAAAUCUGGUUGUCCUCAACAAGUGAGUAAACUUCAUCCCAAUUAUAUGUCGUUACAAUAUCCUUUGCUUUUCCCGUUUGGUGAGGACUGUUGGUCUCUGCGUUUGAAAUUACGGGUGAUACAGGUACCAGUUUUAGAAAUCUAACAGUAAACAUGUACUAUAGUUAUCAAAUUCAUGCACGUCGGGAUAUAUACUUUCUUAUUCUUAACUCAGGUCGGCUUUUCCAGCAGUACCUGGUUGAUGCUUACACUUGUAUUGAAGUAGAUCGUUUACAAUUCAUUUUAAAUAACCAGGAACAUUUACGGUCCGAGUAUCUGUCUGGUCUUUAUGAUGCUUUGUCUAAAGGGGAUAGAGAGAAUGAAUUUGUGGGUAAACGGGUUUUCUUACCUGCAUCGUUUGUUGGUGGUCCCCGUUAUAUGUAUAGUUACUAUCAGGAUGCAUUGUCGAUAUGUAGAGUAUAUGGAAAUCCACAAUACUUUAUUACGUUUACAUGUAACGUGAAGUGGCCAGAGAUAACACAUUAUAUGGAAACUUAUGGUCAACAUGAUGUUCACAGUAGAGCUGAUGUGAUAGCUAUAGUUUUUGAAAUGAAAGCUAGGGCCUUCAUUAUGUUUCUAAAAGAGGAUAAAACUUUUGGCGAGGUUGAAGCACAUAAGUGUCAUUGUUUUUUUUUAUUACUUGUCUUUCAUGUUUGUGGUUUCUUACCCUUUAUAUUUUUGUUUUUGUAUUUCAGAUUUAUAUACUAUAGAGUUUCAAAAGAGAGGUUUACCGCAUUGUCACACGCUUUUAUGGGUAUCCAAAUUAGAAAUUAUUCGGCAACCUGCUGAUGUUGAUAACUUUAUAAGUACAGAACUUCCAGAUCUUGUCUUGGAAGCGUCUCUCUAUCGGAUGGUGACGACGUGUAUGAUUCAUGACCCGUAUGGUCCGUUAAAUUAUAAGGCUCCUUGUAUGAAGGAUGGAAAAUGUAGAAAGCACUUUCCUAAACCUUUUCAUGAUGCUACAACUUUUGAUAAAGAAGGCUACGCACACUACAAAAGGAAUCCACUUACACAUCACAUGAUGCAAAGUGGCACUAUGAUUGAUAAUGGAUAUUUAGUGCCAUACAACAAGAGAUUGUGUAGCCGAUUUGAUGAACACAAAAAUGUUGAGUAUUGUGGAUGGAAUAUGAUGGUGAAAUACAUGUUUAAAUAUAUAUCAAAAGGAGUUGAACGUGUUAGGUAUGUUGUUUAGAAAACUGAGGCAACUGCUACUGGUAAUUUUGAUUCAUAGGUCCCAAUUGUAAAUGAAGUUCACCACUUUUUGGAUGCACGUUACCUUUUCCCACAUGAGGCCGCAUGGAAAAUGUUAAACUUUUUCAUUCAUCGACGACAUCCCCAUGUGAUGACAUUGCCCGUUCACUUGCUAAAUAUGCAACAUGUUAUGUUUAAAGAAAUUGGUAGAAUAGAGGAUGUUCUUUGUAAUCCUGAUUUUGCUAGAACACCACUACUUACAUGGUUUGACAAUAAUGUAAGAGAUCCAAAAGGUCGAGAUCUUACUUAUAUUGACUACCCUAACAGAUAUACAUGGGAUUCUAGAUUCAAAGAAUGGGGAUAGAGAGUUUUAGAAUCUUCAAAAAGUAUAGGUAGACUUGUGUUUGUGAAUCCAUCUUCAGGAGAGUUAUUAUACUUUCGGAUGUUGCUCUGUCAUCAGAAGGGAUGUCAGUCUUAUGAAGAUGCCCGUACAGUCUCUGGUCGUCUUUAUCCAACUUUUUGAAGUGCAUGUAAUGCAUUAGGGUUGAUAGGUGAAGACAUGGAGUGGUUGACAGCCUUUGGAGAAGCUUCAUUCUGGGUUACUUCUUCACAGUUAUGUUCUCUUUUCUGCCAUUUGUUGUUUUGUGAAGUAAGCAAUCCACAAUUACUUUGGGAAAGUGCAUGGCACAAAAUGAUGAAUGACUACAUGUUGAAAUUAAAAUUUGACUUCCCAGAUAAGGUCUAUCAUAUAGCCGAUGAUGUAGUACAACAACUUCUUUUUGAGUUGGAGAACAUGCUUAGAUCUUCUACACCUUCAAAAUCAUUAGCUGAUUUCCAUUACCCAUGCCAAAUCUAGCUACUCUUGCUAUCCUGCAGAACCGUCUUUUAAUAGAAGAAUCAGGUUAUGACAAGGAAUCUUUGCAGUAACAACACUCACAAAUGGUAUUACAAUUGAAUGAAGAUCAGAUGCAUGUUUAUAGCACUGUUAUGGUAUUUGAACAUAAUAGAAAACAGGUUUUACUUUUUGUGUAUGGUCAUGGUGGGCCAGGAAAAACGUUCUUGUGGACAACCUUACUUGCAUAUUUCUGGUCUAUUAGAAAAAUUGUACUUACGGUUGCUACUUCUGGAAUUUCAUCCCUUCUUUUACCCUAUGGAAGAGCUGUGCAUUUAAUUAAGAUUUAAUAUCCCCAUUAACUUGGCUGAAAAAACCUCCUAUAACAUCAAAAAAAAGAACAAUACUCGUGAAUCUACUUAAAGAGACAUCAAUCAUUAUAUAGGAUGAAGCACCCAUGAAUGAUCGACAUUGUUUUGAAUAUCUUCAUCGAUCUCUUAGAGAUGUUUUGGACUAUAAAAACCAGCCUUUUGGUGGUAUUUCCAUCCUCCUUGGUGGUGAUUUGCGUCAGACACUUCCAGUUUCCCUAAAAAGCACGCGGAGUCACAUCAUUGCAUUAACCCUUCCAAAUUCAUAUCUAUGGUCGUGUUUUAAGAUUUGAAAACUGCAUCAGAACAUGCGCUUAACAGUUUGUGAGAUUGAUGUAAGUAAUGGCCUAUCUACACCCGCUUUUGCAGAAUGGUUGCUUAAUAUUGGAAAUGGGACUUUAGGAGUUUCGGCUGAAUAUGAUCCGCAUAGUAAAAGUUGGGUACAAAUACCAGGUUCACUUUCGAUACCUCCAGAUAGUGACUCUUUAAAAAGAUUAAUACUCUUUGUAUACGAAAAUGAUCUAUUGCACAAUCCAUCAUCGUCUGAUUUGUAUGUAAGAGCUAUUGUCUGUCCCACAAAUGAGAUUGUUGACACUUUAAAUACAACAAUUUUGGAAAUGAUGAACACCCAAGAAAGGGUUUACAAAAGCACAAACACUAUGCAACCAAAUGGAAAGUAUACAUUAGAGUUAGAAGGUUUAUAUCCAACUGAAUAUCUAAACCAAUUAACUUUUGCAGGGAUCCCGCCUCAUGCCCUCAGGCUUAAACUAAAAGCUCAUGUAAUGUUAUUGAGAAACAUUAACUAGAUGGAUGGUUUGUGUAAUGGUACACGGUUAAUUGUUUCACAACUACUUCCAACUGUAGUAGAAGCAACAAUAAUGACGGGAACAUGCAUUGGGAAGCGUGUAUACAUACCCUACAUAUAAUUCAUUCACAAACCUCCUGGCUUACUAUUUGCCUUCGAACGUAAACAGUUUCCGAUUAAGAUUUGUUAAGCCAUGACGCUAAAUAAAAAGUCUAGGUCAGUCACUAAAGAAAAUUGGUAUUUAUUUGCCACAGCCUAUAUUCACACAUGGUCAGCUAUAUGUUGCAUUAUCAAGAGCAACAUCUCCCAGUUCACUAAAAAUUAUGAUAAACAAUGAUGAGAAUACAUGCCAGAAUCAAACAAUAAAUGUUGUAUUUAAAGAAUAUUUAUCCAUAUUUAAUAGUAUUGAGGUUCAUAAUAUCAUUAAUAAUUAUCAUUUCUAUAUUAAAACUGUUAUAUAUAAUGAAAAACUAAUGCUUUGUUAUUUUAUUUAACAAAGUUAUGACUAACAAAUCUGACUUGGAGUAUCCAUGCAAGGGAGGUCCAUUACAGGUGCUUAUCUUGUGUAAAUGGAAACCAGACUACCGUCAGUAUGAAACAUGGUAUCUUGCUGUAGACAAAUAUGUGAGUACACACAAAUUCACAUAAAAAGAGUACACUAUAAUUAUUUACUGUUACUAAAUUUAACCACAUUUUAAUGCAUUAUGGAGAUGCAAUAAAGAUUUUAGGAAAAAGGACUAACCAAGGAUACAUUGAAUAAGUUCUACAUAUCCAUAACUGCUAUACAAUAUCAGAGUAUACAUGUCCCUAUUUAGCCGAAUAUCAAAAAAAAUUCUAGAAAAUGAAAUCUACGUUGACGUCGGACUUGCGUCCAUAAUUGUUCCCUUUCCUGACACUGUUACAAUCCCUACAACCUGGUUUCGAUUUGUUUCUAAAACUGAUCUCCUUCGGCUAGGUGAAAACCCUCCAUAUUAUCCAGGUAUUUAUACAAAACAUGUUAUAUUAAUAUAAACAUCAUUUGUAAGCAAAAUUUCUUUUAAACAAACAGAUUUCAUUGGCAUGCUAACAAAGAUCAGAAAUUGCACAAAGCAUGAUGGAGAGGAAUUCUUUCUUCUAAUUCUUGCAGAUGAAAGGUACAUGACAUAUAGUUAUAGAUCAUUAAUUUUACAUGAAUAUUUUUACUGGUUCUAAUGCUUCCCUUAUACAUAAAACUCAACGGUGAUGAAACAACAAUCAACUUAUGGAAGGAAUGUAUUAAUGUUCCUGAAAAAAUCAAACGUGAAGACUGGGCACUUCCUCCUAUAACAACAGUUGUGGCGAUUACAAAUAUAAAUACCUUAACAAUUGUUGGUAACAAUAACAAAACAUAAUUUAGACUUUGAUAGCAAUUCUAUAAAUAAUUACAUUUCCCUAUUUAAAACUAUUGAUAUAAAUUGUUCAUACAUAUUACAGGAACUCUAAGAUUCGAGUCAUUACCUGCCACACAUGUCUAUGUUAAUCCCCCAAUACAGGAGACAACACUUCUAAUUCAUAGGCCCGUUACGGUUAUUAAAAAAUUAGGUACACUGCAUGUUAAUAAAAAAAAUUACUUCUAAAAUCUGGCUGCAAGUUUACUGGUCCCACACCACCAACUCCCACACUAUCUAGAACACUAAUAGUUGUGCAUGAAUUGAGUAACAAUAGUCAUACCGACCUACUGGUAGCUUAUAUACUUCAACAACAGGUUCUUAACAUAUGAUUAACACAAUUAUAACAUUAUAAUGAUCUAAAAUUGUAGGAUAAAACAUUCAAUGUAAAAGCCGUGCUCUCGAAAAUCACAUUCAAAGAUUACUGGUUCUAAGUAUUGUGCACAACAUGCAAGGAUCCAAUUUUCAGGAAAAGCAACUACUGGUUUGUAGCGCUCAUGGAAAAACAUAGUCGCCUACUUUCCUGUAAAUAUGAUUAUGAUAAAAAAAAUUGUAAUGUAUAAACAAGCAAUCUGUAUUCACUCUUACUAAUAUAGGUUAACUCCAUACAAAUAUAAAAUAGUUAUAGAUCUAACGGAUCCAACAUGCUCCAUGUCUACUGUCACGAUUGAUGCUUCAACUCGAAAACUAAUCGGCACUCCACCAGAAAAAUUAAUGACCGAUGAUCAUGAAAGUGAUAGAAAGUUAUUGCCACCAAUGAUCAACAAUCACAAAGACACAUAAAAAAUUAUGUCGAUUCAAAUGCUGAAAGGGUGUACCACUAAAAACUUAUGUUUUAUAAUUAUUGAUGUGCAUGAAAUCACCACACUAAAUCAAACAGUUACACCAGUUACACCAACACAAGUUUUGGCACCUACAAAGAUAGCAACACAGGUCAGUCCAACACAGCUUGCAACCUAUUUAAACGUUCAAAUCGAUCCUAACCUUGGAACAACUUCCACAAUAUCUGAAACACCACAUGCAACAAGAACACUAACAUAUGACACUACUGGCACUUACAUAUACAUUAUGUUAACAUAACAAAAUAAAAAAUAAUUAGUAACUAACUCUCAUUUUAUUGAUGUACACCUGAAUAUGUACAAAAAAACAACAAAAACGAGGACAAAAGUGGAGUAAAUAACAACGUAAUCUGAUGAUCAUUCCGACUUUUUCCUCUUCGUAGUUACUUUCUUUCUUUUUGUUCUUUGCACUGUAGUAGAAUACAAUAACUAAUGCAUCUUUCGUAUGAAAACAGUAACAGAAAAUCAUAGGUAAAAUGUUUUGUGCUAUAUUAGUAUAUGAUGAUGAUAUCAGUUAUGAAAAAUACAUUAAUGUAAUCGAAUUUGCCUCUGUAAAAUUGAAUACUAUAAUUAAAUGUUCAUACGUAUAGAAUAUUAAAAUAGGUUAAUUCUUAUUAAUAAAAGUAUUUAUCAUUAGUAUAAUGCAAUAACUAAUGCAUCAUUUGUAUGAAAACAACAACAGAAAAGCAUGAGUAAAAUGUUUUGUGCUAUAUUAGUAUAUGAUGAUGAUAAGAGUUAUGUAAAAUACAAUAAUAUAUUCAAAUUUGCUGAUUCUGUGAAUUUGAAUAGUAUAAUUAAAUCUUUGUACGUAUACAAUAUUAAAAUAGGCUAACAAUUGUUCAAUCUACAAAUUAUAUACAAAGAAAAAUGACUUUAUUUAUAAUUCAUAUUAUUCUUUAGAAAUUUAUUUUUAAUCAUUCCUAUUAAUAAAACUAUUUUUCAGCAGCUCAUAAAUCAUUAUAUACUUAUAAAGUUUGCAUUUUUUCUUGAACCACAUUCAUUUGAAACUCCCAUGCAUUUUUUCCUUUCAUCACAUUCAUUUGAAGCUCCCAUGACUUUUCAAUUUCUUUCUAAUAAUUAUUAUAAGUUGGUUAAUAAGGUUAAAUAAAUAUCAAACCUAAAGUGUAAUCAUAUAUAAACUAAAUUUCGAUAUGAAAAAAAUAUAUUUUCUUCUACUUAUAAAGUUUGUUUUUAACUUUUAACAUAUUAUACUUAAUUUAUUAGGUUUAAUAUGUUGUAUGUAAACUAUUAUCAUUUUAAAACUACAACUUUUGAUCAAUUUGUAUUUAAUACUUAAAUUGUUAAUUUAAAUAUAACCUUACAGGAUCAACUUAAAUAUAAAAUUUAGUUCAACUUAAACAACCCAAAGAAUAUUUCGUAAAUAGUUAAAAGUGAUAAAUUGUAGUGUCUUUCUAAUAAUGAUUAUAAAUUGGUUAAUAAGGUUAAAUAAGUAUCAAACCUAAAGUGUAAUAAAAAAUAAACUAAAUUUCAAUAUUAAAAUAAUAUUUUACUUCUACUUAUAAAGUUAUGUCUUUAACUUUUAACAUAUUAUACUUAAUUUAUUAGAUUUAAUAUGUUGUUGUAUGUAAACCAUUAUAAAUUUAAAGUUACAACUUUUGAACUGUAUGGACAAAAUACUUAAAUUGUUAAUUUAAAUAUAACAUUACAGGAUCAACUUCAAUAUAAAUUUCAGUUCCACUUAAAAAAAACCCAAAGAAUAUUUUGUGAAUAGUGAAAAGUGAUAAAUUGUAGUGCUAAAUACAAAAACCAAAUUGUAAUAUCAAUUCACUAAAAUAUUUCCUAAAGAUAUUUUUAUAAUCGUUAUAAGUUUUGAAAUAAGUAGCUUAAAAUAACUUAUAAUAACAAUAGUUAAAAAUAACUCUAUAUAAAUGAUUAUAUUGUUACCUUUAAAAAAUUGUUUGAUGUUUUAAAUAAUUACACUGAUAGAAAUUAAAACGUUAAGCAAAUAAAUUUUAAAAAGUAAUUAACAAUAAACCAACUAUAAAUAAUAUUAAACCAUAUAUUAUAUUUAAUUUUAUUCAUGAGUAACCCGCAGGUAGAGAUCAUUCAAAAGAUUGAGAUUAUGCAGUUUUAAUAGAUGUAUAUAUUAUCAUAUAAUUAAAAUAAUCAAUACACUAUAUAUCAACUUAGUAUACGAAUUAUUAUAUCAAAUUUAACAACUACAUUAUUGUAAUAUUAAAAAAAACAUAUAUUUGUAAAUAUUUCAACUAUCUAGAUGUUUCUGCGCAACGUGCGGACAUUCGCCUAGUUGUUUUUAAAAGCCUUUCAAUAUAGUUACAAUGAAGAUUAGAUAAUAACUACAUAAAUUUUUAUACCAUUACAUAACGAUAUCAAAAUUUUUGUACAUAUAUAUUUUUCUUUUUGAAAAACGAUUCGUUAGGUACACUGAUAACAUUAAAUUAACUUUUAGAUUUACAAAAUAAAAAUCGUUACAAGGACAUUUAGAUUAUUGUAUGUACCCAUAAAAACAUAUAUACAUCCAUUUACAAAAAAUUUACAAUACUAUAAUUAUGAGUUGGUUAUGUAAAAUACACUGUUAAAAUUAAAUGUUGAUAUGUAUACAUUUUAAAAUAGGUUGAUUAUUUUUUUUACUCGAGUAAAACUAAUUGUCAUUAGAAGAUCUGAUAAAACAAAUACGAUUGAAUUACAUAAUAUUACAUACCGAUAUAAAAAGUUUCCUAUAUAAUUUCCUUUUUUUUUUUUUUUUUUUUUUUUUUUUUUUUUUUNUAAAUAUUUCAUUAGGAAAACCAAUAGCAUUAAAUUUACUUUCACAAAUACAUAAAAGUAAUUGAUUCAUAAAGGGUUUAAGAAUACAAAAAAGAAAAUAAAACUUUGAAGUGCUUUAUCUAUGUAACCUAUUCAUUCUAAAUCUUCUAUAAAUUCUCUCUAACAAAUGAAUGUUUUUUUAGUAUAUGUAUUUUUCUCCUUCAUUUUGCCAUAUGAUAUUUUCUAAAAAUUUUGAAUUUUUUAUUUUUCAUUUGUCAUUUUAUUGUAUUUUUCAUUUUAUUAAAUUAAAAUUCUAUAUUUAAUAUGUAAAAUAAUAUAUAUGUAAGGUAUUUAUUAGAAAGAGUUUAUAUGUGUAAUGUAUUCAAUGUAUUAAAGUCUCAUUAAUUUUAUUAAUUCAAAAUUUUUCUUAUUUUUCUUAUAAAUUUAAACUUCUCAAAUUGUUGAAAUUUUAUAUUUAAUUUUUUUAAAUAAACUUAUGUAAUACAUGGGUCUCACAGCUAGUAACUAUAGUAUUGCUACCAAACUGUUAGUUUAAGUACACACGUCAUUACCACAAUCUUAAUAAUCUGCCACCACUACAUUAACCAAAACUGAAAACAUUAAAUUCAAAUUUCAAAUAUAAAAAUUUAAAUAAGCAAUAAAUUGUUUAUCAAAGCUUUUUAAUAUUCUUACAACCAAAAUUAGAUAACAAUUAAAAAUAACAUAAAAAUAAAAAAGAACACUUUUUAAUGUCUUCAUCACUUANUCUCCUACAUGCCACUUGUCAUUAUUUUAGACUUCAUUUUGCCACGUGUCCUCUUUUUGUUUAACCCAAGAUUUGUUUUCCCACUCAUCUUCCCUUCCAUUGUUAACCGAUGUCAUCCCAAAAAAUCAGGGAUCCUAAUUUAAAACCUUAGCUGUUAUCCCAAUAAAUCAGGAAUCCUAAUUAAUCUCUCAAUUUCUAUAUUUAUACUAUGCAUUCCAUUCGGGCCUUUCAAAUUCAACAAUCAACAUCCACAAAUUGAUCCAUUCCGAUUUUGAAACGACUUCAAUUUUCUUUUGUGUCUUCUUCUUCAUGUACUGAAUGUGUUAAUUUGUAGGUUUUUGGGUUCGGACUUUUCUCGAUCAGGGGAAGGUUUUUGGGUUAGGAAUUUUCUCGAUCAGGGGGAAGGCAUUGUUUUUAAGGUUAUCGACACAUCUAUAGUUUCUAUAAUUGAAAAUUUGAAUACCCCAUCCUCCAUAUCUAUACUAUGUGUUUCUUCCUUCGAUUCGGGUAUCUCGCUGGAUUAGUAGGUUUUUAUUCACCUGCUUCAUGGUAGAAAACUAGAAACAUUAUCAACAGGAAGAGCUAUUUCGUUAUCUUUUUUUCUCUAAAUGCCCUAGCCAUCGCCGCUAAUCAUCUUGAUAAGGGAACAAGAACCGUCAUACCUUCUUCUUGUAUGCAGAAAUCAGCAAAGGUUAGUCACUUAGUCUUAUAUUUCUUUUUUCUAUUUGAGCCCUAAAAUGUUCAUAUGUUGUUUCUUUUUUGUCUAACGCUUUGGAGGAACAAAAUAGACUGGUGCAAUCUACUCUCUUUCUCCUUUGUGUUACAUCUCACUCUUUCCAAUUUUCCCUUCUAAUUAGACAGUAUCAUCAUUAUCCUUGCUACCCUAUCUGAAUUGACCAUGUUUUCACACUGAUUCAAAGUUUCAAUAUAUCAAUAUUUUGUCUAUCAUCUUCUAUUUUAGCUUUUUUUAUGAGCUUCUUGUAGGAUAUCUAUUUCAUAUAUUCGAUCAACUCAAAUUAAUAUGUCAAUACUAGCUCAUCUUCUUGGUGGUUGUAGAUAUGUUUUUGGAAACACUCACUUCGAUGCUCACUUUGGCUUUAGAGAUGUUUUUGAUUAGUUAUCAGAUUUAUUCGUAUUCAAAUGAGAGUGCUCUUGCUGGAAAUAUCAAAUUAAAGACAAAGCAAAACAUAUCCAAAAUAAUUUUUUGUGUGUGAGUUGGUGGUUUGACAUGGUAUUAUAGUAAGAUUGUUCUUCCAAUGAGAUUGCACUUGCUGGAAUAUUCAGUUACCUUGAUACAUAUUAAGAUUUUUUCCUUAUGUUUUUAGACAUGUACUUGAGAAGUUGUCAUCAUUUAUUUUUAUUAAUUUUCAAUUUGUUUUUUGUUUUACAGAACUUUGUUAUACAAUGAAAGGAAUCCAAAAAAUGCGAAGUAUAUAGCUUUCUGGAGUAAAAAAGAUGGGACCUCUUGCUAGAUUUUGAUGUAUAUAGCAUUGGGGUACUUGCACUGGAAGUGAUCAAAGGAGAGCAUCCAAUAGGUAUUAUUAUUAUUAUUAUUAUUAUUAUUAUUAUAGCAUUGGGAAUAUUUAUUGUCAAUGAAAGUAAGAAAGAGUGGAAAAUGAAAGUUAUACAGGAAAUCCUUGAGAGCAAAUGGUCAUUUAUUUGUAAUUUAUAAUGAAUCUAAAUUCACAAGUUACAAAAUAGGUAGAGUAGUUAUGGGUCAAAACAAUUGUCACUAAUCCAUUAUCCAUUUUUGUACUUUCAACAUCUUUAUAUGUUACUAUAAAGACUAUUAUUAAAAUUAAUAACCUAUUUUUUAAUAGAAAUAAUAUUUGGUAGAAUUGUUAAUGUUAUUUCCUUCAUUUUCAACCACAUCUUUGAAGUGUAACACAUCUUAUGGUAGAAUGAAUUUCUUAAACAAUAAUAAUUUUUAUGUGCUUAAGACCACAUUAAAUGCAUAAAUAGAAUGGAGCUUCCCUGUUUAAGUGGUACCAUGGGCAUUUUUGUCUUUUUUACAUUUCUUAAAUUUGUAUAUGGUUUUUGAUUUGAUUCAUUUUUUACUCACUUUGAUAUAUGUUUGAUUCACAUUAAUUCCAAUACACCACCAGUACUGUUAAUACCGAAGAUUUGGUCACAUACUUUAUCUGGUAUAUUUUAGAGAUAGGUUUGAAUAUUUUGAAAAAGGGAAUUAUUGGUAUAAAAAUUUGUGAAAAGGUUGGUAUUUUUUGGAGCUAUUUCAUGGUUUAUUGAUGAUAUGGAUGUUUGUAGAAGCAAUUUAAUGAAAGGGCAAUUUGGUAAUAUUUAUUGGAAUAUAAUCAUUUUUGAUUUAAUUGAGUAUUUAAAUUGGAAAAUGAGAUUGAAAAUAUGAAUAUUGAUAUAGUUUUUUUCCUAUCCCCUUUCCAACUAUACCCAAUAAUGAAAGUAUAACAAUUUUUAUGUUUUUAGCAUAGUACCUUUCGCAUUCUAGAUUUAACUGAGUAUUAGAAUUGGAGAAUGUGUGUUUUUACUUAAAUAUUUCUUGGUUUUGAUUAUCAUUUUUAGGAUUGUUGAUAUAACUUGAUAGUAUUUUUUUUUGGUGAAUUGGUUGUAGAGGAAAACAUACACACAUAACAAUUCUGUGGUUUUUAUUACAGAGACAAACAUGUACAAUAAAACUUCUUGUGAAAAAUAAAUGUAUUAUUUGCAUGAUUCAGAAUAUUUACCUCAUAUUACAAUCAAAUAAUGUUGUAAUGAUGAUACAAAUUGCCUAUUUGUUGUUGAUAAUAUUGUAAAACUAACUUUAAUUUGGUUAAUCGUUUGAUGAAAAAGAUGCAGGUUUAAUCUCUCUGCUAGACUUUAUGCUUGGCAUGGAUGAUAAUCUCACAUGAAAUUAUUUAUGUAGUCAUUUUGAUGUAGAAAUCUAUUAUAAUAAUAAUGUCUAAAUACUUUAUCUCAUAUGUAAUGACUUUACAAUAUCAAACUCUUUCGUUAAUUAGUCAAUCGUACAUGCAUAAGUAUUUUGGAUAUAUAGAUGUGUACUUGAGCACAUAUUAUUGAAGUUAGAUGUAAGCCGAAUUGAAGAUAUAUGUUUCUACUUUUUAAUUUAAUUUUUAAAUAAAAUAGUAAUUAAAUUUCAUGAUUCGGUCUGAUAUCAACAUGAUUAAACUAAAACUCAAACCAUAGACCAAAUUCAUUAUAUAUAUUGAGAGCCCAUUAAAAUUUUGCUGCCAAAAAGGAAACUAAUUUACUAGAAGUUAUCAACAAUUUUACUAGAGAUAGAUAAUAUUUCAUGCUUGUCGUGUUUAUAUAAAAUAAAAAAAAGACAGUUUAUUUCAUUAUUUUUAUUAUUGAUUGUGUUUUCUUAUAUAAAUAUUAAUUUUAAAUUUUAAAUAAUCAAUAUAAACCUCUAAACAAAAAUUAUAUCUCUUAUUAAUUUUUUCAAUUAUAGUAUUUAAUUUCAUUUCAAUGUCGAUUAUAGCAAUUCAUUUUUUUUCAAUUAUAUUCAACUUUCAUUUUGAUAUAGAUUAUAGAUUUUACUUUCAAUUUUAUUUUAGUCUGUCAACUGUGUCAUNNNNNNNNNNNNNNNNNNNNNNNNNNNNNNNNNNNNNNNNNNNNNUUCAUUAACAAAAACCAACAAUGUCAAAUAUAGAUGUUAGAAUACGAAAAUGUAAUUAAGCAAUAAACUAUUUAUUGAAGUGUUUUAGGGGGUGUUUGACAUUGCUUUUCAACAUCAAAAGUCCUUUUUGUAGAAGGAUUUUUAAUAAAAGAACUUUUUGUGAAAUGAGCUCUUUAAAAAGUGUUUGGAUUAGCAAAAGUACCUUUAUGUUAACUUUUACAUGUAAAGUCACAAAAGUAAGGUUUUUGUGACUUUUUGAAAGCCCUUAUUUUCCUGUAUGCAAAAGUCAUUUUCUGUAACGUCCCAAAAAUACAAGCCAAAAAUUUCAUUUUUAAAACAUAUACUUAGCGAACAUUAGAAAUAAAACGUUCACCGAUCAUAGCAUUUCAUAAAAGUUAUCGCAUGUCUUGAAAAACAUUUAUAAAAACAUAAUGUCGUCAGAGUACAACUUCCCAGGAGGAUCUCAUAGUGCGGAAUACAAGGCAUGUGUGUGAUGGGCCACUACCGUGCCAACUCCUUCCCCUUCGAAGAAGAGGUACCUGAAACCAAAACUGAAAACUGUAAGCACGAAGCUUAGUGAGUUCCCCCAUAAUACCCCAUACCAUACAAUCAUAUAAUGAACAGCUAGGAGAUACGGGCCUCACCCACACUCAAGGAGAUACGGGCCUCGCCCACACUCCGCUAUCUAGACCCUCUGCUAUCUAGGAGAUACGGGCCUCGCCCACACUCUGCUAUCUAGGAGAUACGGGCCUCGCCCACACUCCGCUACUAAACCAUAACAUACAAGUAUCACAUAGACAACGGGUAUAAACAAUUCUACCACACUAGCAUAUAGCAUCAUCAGACUUAACUAAGAGAUACGGGCUCUGCCCACACUCCGAUACUAUCAUAUCGUCUAUACGGUCCGACCUUGGUGCCUUAGACCCGUUCCUACUGGAAGGAAACUCACCUCGAAAAGUAGCUACUGGUCUGCGUGGGAACUUACUGUCUUCUGCUGCUGCUGCCCCGGAAAUCCUCCGGCUAUAAUUCCCACAAAACAAUUAGUCAAAUAAUGCUAACCGUCCUUAGGUUAAAAUGACCAUUUACCCCUAACCAAACCAAGAGUCAAGGUCAAAGUCAUCUUCCAGUUGACCCGACUCUCCAAGUUGGCUCACCAACUCGCUGAGUCCCUACUCAUUUGAUUGACCAUACUCCCGUCUCUACUCGUCGAGUUAGGCAUUGACUCGACGAGUUUUCCUUUUGACCUAAAGUCCAAGUCCUUCAUCCUACUCGCCGAGUUGGAUGAACAACUCGUCGAGUUCAUCUUCAUCCGAAGAACAUGCUAUGCUGCGACUCGCCGAGUGGUAUGAACAACUCGCCGAGUCUAUUCUUGAGGCAAGAAGAUUGCCUUGGACUCGCCGAGUCAGGGCAUUGACUCGCCGAGUUCCUUNCCGAGUUAUUUCAUGGAUGAGUCUGGCUUCCGACUCACUACCCCACUCCGCAACACGAAAAAGGGGGAAAACUUGGGGACUCGCGACUCGACUCGCCGAGUCCGAUGAACGACUCGCCGAGUCGUCCACAUGCAAAAACUAUAUACUCGAUUUUGCUCGAAUCUAGCUCAUGCCAUACAUAGAUCUGGGUUUCUAGGGCCUGAUUGACACAUAAAGUUUCCAACUUUACGUGUAAAUAAACACCAAUGAAGGUUUUAGGGCUCAAAAUGCACUAAAAGAGUAGAUCUAGGGCUUUUAUGCAAUAUGGCUCCAUAAAGGCAGUAGAUCUGAGCUCCUAGAGCUCAAUCAUGCCUAGAUCUAAGGGUUAAUCAACUUAUUACAAACCCUAAUUCGAAAUCAAGCUUGGAAAUGGCUCAAGAAGGACUUUAAUGGAGCUACAAAGGAAUAUAAGCAUGAAAACAGAGGGAAACUGAGUUAUACCUCAAGGAAAUCACUGAGAUAACACAAGGAUGUCUGGCCUCCUUCUUCUCUUCUUGAUCUACUCUUCUUUUCUCUCAAAAUCUUCAAGAAACACACCAAAGCACUUCAAUCUCUCAAGGAAUAAGGGUUUGGACGGUGUUGGGAGCUCUGAGGGUGAAGGGGGCGAGGUUGGGGCGCAUAAGGCUGGUUUAAAUAGGGUGCAAACCCUUGAAAUUUAGGGUUUCAUCAGACAGCGGGGACUCGCCGAGUCCAGAAUAUGGACUCGCCGAGUCGCCAACUUAAACGUGUUCCGGAUCCCGUCUCUACUCGGCGAGUCGGACCUACAACUCGCCGAGUCCAAGGCUAAAAANCCCUUGAAAUUUAGGGUUUCAUCAGACAGCCUGGACUCGCUGAGUCGCCAACUUAAACGUGCUCCCAAACCCGUCUCUACUCGGCGAGUCGGGCCUACAGCUCGCCGAGUCCAAGGCCAAAAAUGCAAAAUACUUAGAUAAAUUUUAUGUACUCGGAACCAGGUGCUACAAAUCUCCCCCACUUAUUUUAGACUUUGUCCUCGAAGUCUGCUGCUCGAUCCUGAAACAGCUCGGGGUAAUGCUCCAUCAUUUCUUCCACCGGCUCCCAAGUCCAUUCCAAACCCUUUCGGUGCUGCCAUUGCACCUUUACUAAUUCCACCCUCUUGUUCCUCAGAUCCUUCGACUUUCGGUCGAGGAUUGCGACUGGGCGCUCAAUGUAAUUCAGGCUGUCAUCAAGCUGUAUAUCCUUUAGUGGCACCACCGCUGAAUCAUCCACUAGGCACUUCCACAGUUGGGAGACAUGGAAGGUGCUGUGGAUCUGACUGAGUUCGGUUGGUAGAUCCAGCCUAUAUGCUACCUUGCCCACUCGGGGGCUACAACCCUGAACGGACCAAUGUAUCUCGGGACCAACUUUCCCUGCUUCCUGAAUCGAAUGACGCCCUUCUAAGGCGACACCUUCAGGAGAACUAUAUCCCCGACCUGAAACUCCAGGUAUGACCGGCGCUUGUCGGCGUAACUUUUCUACCGACCCUGUGCAGUCUGCAGCCUGCUUUGAACCUGCUGGAUUCCCUCGGUCGUCUUGAGCACCACCUCUGUGCUCCCCAUGACCCUCUGUCCAACUUCACCCUAACAUAUCGGAGUCCUGCACCUCCGUCCGUACAACAUCUCGAAUGGAGGGCGGUCGAUACUCGCGUGGUAGCUGUUGUUGUACGAGAACUCAACCAAGGGAAGAUAGGUAUCCCAACUACCACCAAAGUCUAGCACGCAUGCCCGCAACAUAUCCUCCAACGUCUGGAUGGUCCGCUCGCUCUGACCAUCCGUCUGCGGGUGAAAGGUGGUGCUAAAAUGCAGACGAGUGCCCAACUCAUCAUGAAACUUCUUCCAAAACCUGGAAGUGAACCGCACAUCUCGGUCUGAUAUCACUGACACUGGCACCCCAUGCCGUGCCACUAUCUCCCUGAUAUAGAUAUCGGCCAACUUUUCGGCCAAGAUACUCUCCUGAAUCAGAAUAAAAUGGGCGCUCUUGGUCAACCGAUCCACGAUGACCCAAAUCGAAUCUACUCCUCGCGCCGUCCGGGGAAGCUUUGUGAUAAAAUCCAUCAUAAUAUCCUCUCAUUUCCAUAACGGGAUAUCCAACGGCUGCAUCUUGCUGUGCGGUCUCUAGUGCUCGGCCUUGACCUUCCUGCAGGUCAAACACCGCUCGACGUACCACGCCACAUCCCGCUUCAUGCAGGGCCACCAAUAGUCUAGACAAAGAUCCCGAUACAUCUUCGUCGCCCCUGGAUGAAUAGAGAAUCGGGAUUUGUGCGCCUCCUCCAUCAAGAUCUGGCGCACGCCUCCGUGAUACGGCACCCACACCCUACGGUGUAGUGUCAAUAACCCUCGGCUAUCAUAAUCGAAGGAGGUGACUUGACCCACUAUACGCUCACUCUUCCGAUGUUCUUCCUUCAUAGCCUCCUGCUGAGCNUCUAAUAGUGGAGUCACCACCAUCAUCCUCAUACACACAUCCCUAAUCGUUGCCGCCUUAUGGCUAAGCGCAUCGGCCACCACGUUAGCCUUCCCCGGGUGAUAAAGGAUCUCGCAAUCAUAAUCCUUCACCACGUCCAACCACCGACGCUGCCUCAUGUUCAGAUUCGGCUAAUCCACGAGGUACCUCAAACUCUUAUGGUCCGUAUAAAUGGUACAUCGAACCCCGUAGAGGUAAUGCCGCCUAAUCUUGAGGGCGAAGACCACCUCCCCCAACUCUAAAUCAUGCGUCGGAUAGUUCGCCUUGUGAGGCUUCAGCUGCCUCGAGGCAUAAGCAAUGACAUGACCCCUCUGCAUCAAUACUGCGCCUAAGCCUGAGAUAGAUGCAUCAAAAUAUACCACGAAAUCCUCUACACCCUCCGGCAGGUCUAGGAUUGGCGCCUCACACAAUCUCUGUCUUAGAAUCUCGAACGCGGCCUGCUGCUCAGGCCCCCAUCGAAAGACCACAACUUUCCUAGUCAACCAUAUCAGGGGUACGACUAUCUUGGAGAAAUCCUGAAUGAAUCUACGAUAGUAGCCUGCUAAUCCUAGGAAACUCCAAAUCUCGGAUGGAGACUUCGGAACCUCCCAUCUCAUUACGGCCUCCACCUUGGCCGGGUCUACUGAAAUCCCGUUCUGGUUGACGAGGUGCCCAAGAAACUGUACCUCGCGCAACCAAAACUCACAUUUGGAGAACUUGGCGUACAAGCUCUCCCUCCUCAAGGUCUCCAAACCUCUCUCAGAUGCUCCUCGUGCUCCUCCUGUGUCUUGGAAUAAACCAAGAUAUCAUCAAUGAAAACUAUCACAGACCGAUCCAGCAUCGGUCUGCACACGCGGUUCAUGAGGUCCAUGAACGCGACAGGAGCAUUGGUGAGCCCAAACGGCAUCACCACGAACUCAUAAUGGCCAUAACGCAUCCGGAAUGCGGUCUUCUGUACAUCCUCCUCUCUGACCCUCAUCUAAUGAUAACCUGAACGCAAAUCGAUCUUGGAGAACCAAGAUGCUCCAGGUAGCUGAUCAAAGAGGUCAUCAAUCCUCGGGAGUGGGUAACGGUUCUUCACCGUCACCUUAUUCAGCUCCCGGUAAUCUAUACACAUCCGAUGCGACCCGUCCUUCUUCUUCAUAAACAGGAUCGGGCUCCCUAGGGUGAACUGCUCGGUCGAAUAAAUCCCUUGUCUAGCAGCUCCUGCAGCUGCGUAGACAAUUCCUGCAUCUCGGGAGGNNNNNNNNNNNNNNNNNNNNNNNNNNNNNNNNNNNNNNNNNNNNNNNNNNNNNNNNNNNNNNNNNNNNNNNNNNNNNNNNNNNNNNNNNNNNNNNNNNNNAGGUAUUCCAAGAAGCUCCUCCGGGAACACAUCAGUAUAGUCUCGCACCACUGGAACCUCGCUCACCAUCGCCUAACCCAUCUCCCGGGUAUCCAUAACAUACGCGACAUAUCCCGCGCAACCCUGCUGAAGGUAGCACCUAGCUCUCGCGGCUGAACAUAUUGCAGGUCCAUGCUUUGGCCUCUCGCCGUGGAUCACCAACUCUCCCCCACUUGGGGUCCUGAUCCGCAUUAACCAUUGCGCGUAAUCUAUCACCGCCCCAUUAGGGAUCAACCAAUCCAUGCCUAUAAUCACCUUGUUCCCCCGCAAAGGGAUGGGAACCAAAUCCACAAAAUAGCGCUCCUCAAAUAACCUUAGGACACAAUCCCUGAAUACUGCCNNNNNNNNNNNNNNNNNNNNNNNNNNNNNNNNNNNNNNNNNNNNNNNNNNNNNNNNNNNNNNNNNNNNNNNNNNNNNNNNNNNNNNNNNNNNNNNNNNNNNNNNNNNNNNNNNNNNNNNNNNNNNNNNNNNNNNNNNNNNNNNNNNNAAAAUUACAGCAACAUAACAUAAAGCAUAAAUAAGAAAUCAUACCCGCCACCACAUCGGGUGCAACGCGUGCCUCCUCGACAGUCAACUGGAAUGACCGAAUCCUCACCACUGGAGCCUAUGCCUUGCCCUGCCAGCCAUCAGUGAUCCGUAGGGUCGCUGGAGCUGGCGCCUUAACCGGCGCUGAUGCUGUCAACUGGGGGCAAUUGGCCUUCUUGUGGCCCCUCUGGUUGCAGUGGAAACACAACAACUCCGAUGUAUGAAUCAUAGGUGCAGGGGCAGUACAAUCUCUGCUAAAGUGUCCCGUCUUGCCGCACUUGUAGCAGCCCGACGAUCCCAAUCUACAUGCUCCCUCGUGUGACCUGCCGCAUUUCCCGCAGCAGCCUGGUCCUCUUUGGCCUUUCAGCCUACCAUCUGAUCCCCUGGACUUCUUCCCCGAAGCCCCUCUUGCCUGUCCCUCCUCUGUCUGCUUCUUUCGGAUUUGCUCCAGAUCUAUCUCCCUCUCCCUUGCCCUGGCAAUCAUAGAGUCCAGGGUGGGGCAAGCUGAAAAACUAACAUGCUCCCGGAUAUCAGCUCGGAGCAUGUCGUGGUAGCGGGUCCUCCUCAUGUCCUCAUCACCCGCGUACUGGGGCACCAACAAUGCUCUCUCCCGGAACUUGGCGGUGAUCUCCACCACAGUCUCCGUCGUCUGUCUCAUGUCUAAGAACUCUCUGGCCAGCCGCUGAUGCUCGACAGUCGGCGCAAACUCUGCCCUGAACCUGGUCAUGAAGUCCGACCAGGUAAUAGCCUCGACAGCCGAGGCUCCCAACGAGUCACCAACAGACUCCCACCAAUCCCUAGCUCGGUCUCGUAAACAUCCUGCUGCAUAUCUCACCUUCAACCCCUCAGGGCAGAAACUAGUCAACUGUGCAGACUCAAUGUCUGCAAUCCAUCGCCUGGCAGCUAUGGGGUCCUUUGCCCCGUGAAAAUCCGGCGCUCCACUGCCCCUUAAGUCCUUAAAGGACAAUGUACGAGAUCCCGACUGGCCAGAUGCCAUAUCGCUCCUGAAUGCCCGGAGGCAAUCCACCAUCAGCUCCAAUAUCACUUCCUUGAUCGACCCGAAGAUAAUGGGGGUCGACUCAAGGAUGCCUCUGGUGAUCUUUGACGCGAUGAACUCGCGUAGCCCCUUAUCUAUUGGCUCAGAACCUGAUCCCGAACCCGAUCCCUCUCCUGUACUGCCAACUGCUGGCCUCGAGCGUAGUACCACCAUUCUGAAAUACAUAAAUAAUAACCGUUAGCGAUACUGAUACCUCUGGAGGGAUCAUACCUACUACAAGUUCCCUGGUCUUAUCUUGGCCUUCCUCGGUUCGGGUACGGAUCCUCUGCUUUCAGUAGUACGGGCCCAUACUACCUUCCACAUCUAUCCGUACCUUCUCCAAGGACUGCCUUGACUCCACCCAACCCAGUCCUCAGCUGCUGAAGGUCUCUUUGUGAUGCCAAUUAGCUAUUACCUGGAUACAAUCACAUGCAACGAGGCUCGGAUAAUCCUUCGAGUAAGGGACUCAUCCCUACAAUGGUUAGGACUCAAACAAGAGCUACGCAAAUAGGGUCAAAUCCAACACUCUGAGAUUAUUCAACCCUGAUCACAUGUGACUUUAACGUAUUCACUUAACAGCUAACUCCCAUCAUUCAAAGCCCACAUAGCACAAAGCAAACAACAUUCGGAUAAAAGGAAACAAUCUCAAGCAACUCUAUCCUCGUAGAGAGAAACUGAACUAGCAUACAAUGCUAAACUUGUACUAUCAGACAUAACCUAAACAGGCUAUCCUACUGCUGUCUACUCAAUUCUAGCAUGUAGUUUUUCAUACACUGAAGCACAUAAAGCAGACACAUAAGGCAUCACUCCUAGAUCCUUAGUCCUAUUCUAGCAUGCUGUUCUAUUGAAACUGAUAAACAUAACAUAAGCUUGUAUGGGUACUUUGGGGAAUACUUACUUGAGCUUGGCCGGUCACACACAUCACACACUUUGUCCUUUCUUAAAACCCUUUACUUAGCCUUUUAGAAAACAUUUUCUUUUUCAAAAUCUUUUAAUCCCUUGAUUUGAGUUCAAACACCCCCGAAUGUGUGUCCGAAUCCCUUAAACUAGGGCUCUGAUACCAACUUGUAACGUCCCAAAAAUAAGAGCCAAAAAUUUCAUUUUUAAAACAUAUACUUAGAAAACAUUAGAAAUAAAACGUUCACCGAUCAUAGCAUUUCAUAAAAGUUAUCGCAUGUCUUGAAAAACAUUUAUAAAAACAUAAUGUCGUCAGAGUACAAAUUCCCAGGAGGAUCUCAUAGUGCCAAGAAAAGAUUAAGUGGUGACGCCCUAGCGUAGCUAAUAGAUUACAUUUGUAACGUCCCAAAAGUACGAGCCAAAAAUUUUCAUUUUUAAAACAUAUACUUAGCAAACAUUAGAAAUAAAACGUUCAUCGAUCAUAGCAUUUCAAAAAAGUUAUCGCAUGUCUUGAAAAACAUUUAUAAAAACAUAAUACCGUCAGAGUACAAAUUCCCAGGAGGAUCUCAUAGUGCCAAGAAAAGAUUAAGUGGUGACGCCCUAGCGUAGCUAAUAGAUUACAUUUGUAACGUCCCAAAAGUACGAGCCAAAAAUUUUCAUUUUUAAAACAUAUACUUAGCAAACAUUAGAAAUAAAACGUUCAUCGAUCAUAGCAUUUCAAAAAAGUUAUCGCAUGUCUUGAAAAACAUUUAUAAAAACAUAAUACCGUCAGAGUACAAAUUCCCAGGAGGAUCUCAUAGUGCCAAGAAAAGAUUAAGUGGUGACGCCCUAGCGUAGCUAAUAGAUUACAUUUGUAACGUCCCAAAAGUACGAGCCAAAAAUUUUCAUUUUUAAAACAUAUACUUAGCAAACAUUAGAAAUAAAACGUUCAUCGAUCAUAGCAUUUCAAAAAAGUUAUCGCAUGUCUUGAAAAACAUUUAUAAAAACAUAAUACCGUCAGAGUACAAAUUCCCAGGAGGAUCUCAUAGUGCCAAGAAAAGAUUAAGUGGUGACGCCCUAGCGUAGCUAAUAGAUUACAUUUGUAACGUCCCAAAAGUACGAGCCAAAAAUUUUCAUUUUUAAAACAUAUACUUAGCAAACAUUAGAAAUAAAACGUUCAUCGAUCAUAGCAUUUCAAAAAAGUUAUCGCAUGUCUUGAAAAACAUUUAUAAAAACAUAAUACCGUCAGAGUACAAAUUCCCAGGAGGAUCUCAUAGUGCCAAGAAAAGAUUAAGUGGUGACGCCCUAGCGUAGCUAAUAGAUUACAUUUGUAACGUCCCAAAAGUACNCUGCGACUCGCCGAGUGGUAUGAACAACUCGCCGAGUCUAUUCUUGAGGCAAGAAGAUUGCCUUGGACUCGCCGAGUCAGGGCAUUGACUCGCCGAGUUCCUUCAUGGAUGAGUCUGGCUUCCGACUCACUGAGUCACACCCCAUGACUCACUACCCCACUCCGCAACACGAAAAAGGGGGAAAACUCGGGGACUCACGACUCGACUCGCCGAGUCGUCCACAUGCAAAAACUAUAUACUCGAUUUUGCUCAAAUACAGCUCAUGCCAUACAUAGAUUUGGGUUUCUAGGGCCUGAUUGACACGUAAAGUUUCCAACUUUACGUGUAAAUAAACACCAAUGAAGGUUUUAGGGCUCAAAAUGCACUAAAAGAGUAGAUCUAGGGCUUUUAUGCAAUAUGGCUCCAUAAAGGCAGUAGAUCUGAGCUCCUAGAGCUCAAUCAUGCCUAGAUCUAAGGGUUAAUCAACUUAUUACAAACCCUAAUUCGUGAUCAAGCUUGGAAAUGGCUCAAGGAGGACUUUAAUGGAGCUAUAAGGGACUAUAAGCAUGAAAACAGAGGGAAACUGAGUUAUACCUCAAGGAAAUCACUGAGAUAACACAAGGAUGUCUGGCCUCCUUCUUCUCUUCUUGAUCUACUCUUCUUUUCUCUCAAAAUGUUCAAGAAACACACCAAAGCACUUCAAUCUCUCAAGGAAUAAGGGUUUGGACGGUGUUGGCAGCUCUGAGGGUGAAGGGGGCGAGGUUGGGGCACAUAAGGCUGGUUUAAAUAGGGUGCAAACCCUUGAAAUUUAGGGUUUCACCAGACAGCGGGGACUCGCCGAGUCGCCAACUUAAACAUGCUCCCAAACCCGUCUCUACUCGGCGAGUCGGGCCUACAACUCGCCGAGUCCAAGGCCAAAAAUGCAAAAUACUUAGAUAAAAUUUACGUACCAGGAACCAGGUGCUACAUUUUCAAAAUGAUUUUUUUAUUAUCCAAACACCAUUUGUUUAUUUUUUGACGUUUUAAAAAAGUUAGAAGUCAAAAGUCAUUCUAAAAUAACCCCAAACACCCCCUUAAUAGACUUAGAAUGAAACUUAGAUAGUAAUUAAAAUAACAUAAAAAGAAAAAAAACCUUUUUUUAAUAUGCCUUCAUCGUUUAAUAUCAGUNNNNNNNNNNNNNNNNNNNNNNNNNNNNNNNNNNNNNNNNNNNNNNNNNNNNNNNNNNNNNNNNNNNNNNNNNNNNNNNNNNNNNNNNNNNNNNNNNNNNNNNNNNNNNNNNNNNNNNNNNNNNNNNNNNNNNNNNNNNNNNNAUAUUAAUAUAGGGUAAUGUUCAAUUGAGAAAAAAAAGGUUGAGAAUGAGGGAAUUAUUCUCAGCCAGUCAUUUAUUUUUGCCGCAAAAGCCUCCGUCGUACCAGCGGAAAUGGGAAAUAAAUAGACAUGUGUUUUCCAACAAAACAUAUUUCCUUAAACUAUGCUAAUCAUUACCUUAAUAUAUACAAAACAUAGUUUUUUUCGUUUUUUUUUUUAAUUUUUAGAAGCUAUUUUUAUCAAAAAAUGAUUUUAAAUAUACCAAAAUUCAUGAUUUUUUAUUCUCUAUAAAUAGACAUCCAUAUUGAUAUACUUUGAAGAUAAAAUAAUUUUUUUUGUAUUUUCAGCCAUCGUUAUUUAUAAGUGAAAAAAAUGCUUCAGGUUUAAUUACAGUACAUUCGUUAUUCACUUAUGAAUAACAAGUAUGAUUUUUUUUUUUACAAUUUAAGUAUCAUUCAUAUAUGAAUAUAACAUAUAAUAAACAUAGUAUAUUCAUAUUUAAAUAUUGGACGAUGUAUUCACUUGUGAAUAUCAAUAUAUUAUAUUUACUUGUGAAUACUAGAUGAUAUAUUCACUUAUAAAUAUUAAAUGAUAUUUCAUAUGUGAAUAUUACAUAGUAUUACAUGGUAUAUUACAUGUGAAUAUUACAUAGUAUAUUCACUUGUGAAUAUUAGAUGAUAUAUUCACUUAUGAAUAUUACACAAUAUAUUCACAUAUAAAUAUUACAAGAUAUAUUCACUUGUGAAUAUAUUCACUUAUAAAUAUUAGAAGGUAUUUUGACAAAUAUAUAUAAUUUUUAUAUGUUAUUCACAUAUGAAUAACAUACAAAAUUGCAUAUUUGUUUUGUCUUUUUAAUAAUCAUAUACUGAUUCAGGUGAGAAAACAUAUUCAUAUGUGAAUAUAACGUGGUAAUUUAGUUUAUGCAUUUCAUCAAACAGUUGGAGUGCAUACAAGUUAACUAUUUUAAAAAUGUUAAAAACAUCAAGUUAUCAAUUCAAAAAUCAUCAUAUACUUCCGAUUUCGACUUCAGAUGCGACAUAAUAUGUCUGAUCGAUUUCUCAUUUUGAUUUUGAUUUCCGAAAAUCCGAUUGGGAACCUGUGAGUACCGAUUAUGAGUCCUCCAAUGUCGACUGUGACUGCGAGUGCAGAACUCCGAUUCCAAUUUCAUGAACGACGAAGAAAUUCCGAUUCCAACUGAUUUCGUUUGCGAAUCUGGGAAAUUCCAGUUCCAAAUUCGUUAUGAACUUUAACAAAUGCUUGCAAGCUACGAACAUUCGGAGUAUUCAACAAAGAAAUCGACGAAAUUGAUGAAUUUGGGUUGCGAAUCUGUCUUCAACGACGAACUUCCCAGCCACAAAUAUCGAUGAUUGAUUAACACUGGAUGAUUAUUGAAGGUUGGAGGAGAAAUUUUGAUGAUGAACGAACUGUUAUCGAAUUCUCUAUAGUUACGUAUUUGAGAUUGAAGGUUAUUAACAUAUUUACAAGUUUGCCACCGUGUCUUUUUAUGCAUAGAUUAAAUGAGUGGCUGAGAACGAUUCCCCAAUUCUCAAUCUUUUUUAUUUUCUCAAUUGAACCCACCUCUCUCUCUCUCUCUCUCUCUCUCUCUCUAUAUAUAUAUAUAUAUAUAUAUUUGAAAAUANUAAAUUAAAUAAUUAUUUAAUUAAAUAAAUAAAAAUAUUAAAUGAUUUCCAUAAUUAUAUGUAUAUUAAAUGAUAUCCAUAAUUAUAAUUCUCUUUUUAUAGAAACUAAUUAAAUUCAUCAUUAAUGUCAGUAAUAACAUUUUUUCAAAAUGAAUUCACAUCUAGGUUUUUAUAUAUGAGUUCAUAUUUUGCUUUAGGGUUCACUCACUUAAAAUAGAAUAAAGUUGCAUUAAAUAUGAAGAACGAGAGUGUAUUUUAUUAAAAUACACUCUCAUUCUGCUGGAAUACACUCUCAUUCUUCUAGAUAUGAAUUUAUUCUGACUAUUGACAUUAAUGAUGAAUUUAAUUGGUUUCCAUAAAAAUGAGUUAUAAGUAUGGAUAACAUUUAAUAUACAUAUAAUUAAUACUAAAUUCCUAUUGGUGCAUUCUAGCACACAAUAGAUAUGAAAAACAUUUGAACCUACCCCUCUCUCUCUCUCUAUAUAUAUAUAUAUAUAUAACCUACUUACCUAAAAUAGGUAUAAUAUUGCCACGAAAUUGUUAAUUCAAGCAUACGUGUCAUAACAACAAUGUCACUAUCUUGCCACGACUUACAAAACCAUAGUAAAACUCCAUACAAAUCACUCAUAGAUACAGUAAAACAUAUACUACACUACAUAGAUACGAAAGAUAUCGAAGUUCGACAAAUUUUGCAAGAACUGAUUACCCAUCUACGAGAGGUGGGUGACAUAAUGGAGGCGGUUCAAGUAACAAUUGAAAAAGGACUGAAAAUCCAUGAUGAUUUUACAGCAAUGCCUCUAUACAAGAAGAUAACACCAUUACAAAAUUACUAAAGGCCUUUUUGAAGAUGCAAAAACAGAAAACCUGUCCAUGCAAGAUAAUACAUCAUUUAUGCUGGGGUCAAUUCAUAAACGAAUUGAAAAAUAUAAAUAGCUAAUGAAGAACUUCACAUAUGUUUAACUCUUUCAUGUAUGGGUAUCCUUCAAAUAUGUAUUAUGUCGUUCCUUUUAUGUAUGUUGUUGCUUUCCUUACCUAUAUCUGCAUGUAGUAUAUCGUAAAUAGAAAAAACUUGCUUACAUAAUGUUUACAUCCGUUUUUUGUCAGAUUCAUUAAAUAAAUGCCACCGUAAAAACAUAGACCCGCCUCAUUAAACUCUUCCCAACCACCAUAUGAAACCUGAAGAUCUCUCAAAGGCUGGAAAUUGGAAUAAACAUAAAUGUGGUUUAAAUGUUAUUACUACUUCUCCAACCUACCAAAUAAAAUUAAAUGACUAUAAAUUAGAAUGACCCUUCAUUCCAAAUCGUCACACCAACACACAGAUAACUCCACUCAUAAACAAUGAAAAACAUAGUCGCCGAGACCAUGCUCCAAACCUUCAUCACCCAGUUGCAGAAAAGGAUUCAGAUGCUGGAGGCAACUAUAAACAGCAUCGAAGAAGACAUAGCUACGAUGAAUGAAUGUGAUGAUAAUCUACAAUGCUAUCCAUGCUUCUCUACCUUCACCAUAUGCGAGAAGCUUUUAACCAAUGCAAAGACUAAGAUGGCUACAUGCAAGACAACAUCUCCACCAUGAUUGCAAACGUGAAAAAUAGGAUUGGAACCUACAAAAACAUCAUCAAGGAGCUCCCAGAGGAGUACGUAUAAGUGUCUACUCUUCAGAUAGGGAACGAAUUUCUUUUGCAUUGCCAACUAGACACAUAUCCGUAUGAUAUUUUGCUAAUCUUUUGCUAGCAUCGAUAGAUGUUAUGAUGUUUGUAUGUGAUUGUUCUUGAUCAUAAAUAAGUUGGUAUUGUAUUUUUUGUUUGUCCUUUACAUUUUAUUAUUAAAAUGCUUAUUUGAUCAACAAAAACAUUCUCAUAAAAAAUAUUAAAAACUUGAUAACCAAAAUUUAGGAACGGUUGAGUGAUACUUAAAAAAACAUUCAUUCUCCAUAAAAAAACAUUCAUUCUCCAUAAAAGAAUAAAUAUGAUAAUAUAUAAAUCAUAAAAAGUUUACAAAAAAAAAAAAUUGAUUCACUAAUAUCAGAUGAUAAAUGGUUAUUUAACUAUUCACACAAAAAGACAAAAUUGCAAAAAUGGUCCCUGCAGUAUGCAUUUUUUUGGGGGUUUUAGUCCAAACCACACAUUUUUUGGAUUGGUGGUCCUUUUGACCUAGUUUCGUUGCAUUUUUGGUCCCUCCGAAUAGUGAAAUGAUUGUAAUACCCUUGGGGUAUUAAAUUUCCUUUUUAUUUCUUUUCUUUUUUAAAUUUAAUACUAUUUUAUUUAUUUUAAUAAUUAAAAAAAUAGGAAGGGGGCCACCCCCUUCUCUCUUUGUAUGUGUUCUACUGUAUGAAAAAUAUUUCCCCAUUUCUUCAUCUUCUUGAUACCAAUCAUCCACCAACACUGAUGGAAUGGAUACUCAAGCUUCCCUCUUUGCACUCGUAAUCCCCAAUCAAACCUCCCCAUAGAAACAAUCACAACCCAUCUCCUUCAACAAUGUCAAACCAUCCAAACCCACCACCCGUUUCACCACCAUCAAGGUUGCGGCGAUAGUGGAGGUCCCCACCAAAGAAGCUCCGAUGAGAUUCAUCCCACCUGAACUCAACCCCAACACCUCAUCUCCAAUCUACGUCGGAAUACCCCAUCAGAGCAGCUCCCUCCGAUACUCCCAGCUACCAUGGUAAAAACCCACUACCACCAUGUUUAUUUUGUCGAGUACAGGAGACCCAAACACCCCCGACCCUUACUCCUUCCUCCCCUCAUAUCUUACGCAUCGAUUUCUUCCUCUUUACCGGCCACCGGAGUAGCUCCCUACAAUAGCCCCUCUUGAUUUCUCCCCUUUAUCGACUCACCCCUUUCUCUUUUUUUUUUCCCUUCUCUUACGAUUCCUCUGUCUCUCAUUUAUGUGUAUUACCAAUGAAAUAGGUGUUUGUGUAUAACCUAUAUGUAGACGAUGUUUCUGGAUUGAUUGUCGUUUAAAUCAGGUGAUAUCAUGGGUAUAAACCUAAACAAUCGAAUUGAUUGUUGUUUAUCGUCUCCUCUAACAUCACUAAUGUUUCUUUUCAUCAUCGAUUUUGAUAGCCACUAAACUGAGUCUUCUCAACAUCUGUAGGAAAUCAGUGGACCUCAGCCCACUAUCACCGGGCCUGCACUCUGCUGCUGAAUCGAUGUUGAAUAUAUACCUUGAUCUUGUGUGUGUGUGUGUGUUCAUAGUGAAACUGGGUGAAGAUCUAUAAGUUUUUGGGUUAAUCUAAGUUGCAGGAAAAAAGUGAGAAUCAAUUGUUUGAGAAUUGAGGAAUCGGAGAAAUCGAUUGUUUGCAAGAAAAAAUUGGAAUCUCUGAUGUUGGAGUUUGAUGUUCAAAUGGAUUAUGAACGAGGUUUGGAUCGACGGUAGGUUUACACAGGAGAGAGAGAGAGAGACAGAGAGAGAGAGAUGUGGGCCCCAAAUUAGUUAAUUAUUUUAUUUUUCAUUUAAAUUAAAUAGAAAAAGCAUAAAAAUAUAUAUGAGAAGGGUAUAAUAGUCUUUUUAGCUUACUGAGGGACCAAAAACACAACGAAACUAGGUCAAAAUGACCACCAAUCCAAAAAAAUCGUGAUUUGAACUAAAACCCCCCAAAAAUACAUUACCACAGAGACCAUUUUUGCAAUUUUGUUCAUAAUACCAACUAACCCCAACGCAUGGGUCACUCUUUCGUAGUUAACAUUUAAAUAAAAGGUCUAUAAAAUGGACCCUAAAUUUUUAGUAGUUCCGGGUCGUCGCCCAACAUUUACAUAAUAUACUCUAAUUAUAAGUUAUAAAUGAUCCAGCUAGACGAAAUAUUUGUCUUAUAAACAUCGGCAUGGAUGACAACCACCGCUAAUAACAUCACAUAUAAGUAAUCAAACACAAGACCCCUUCUUUAUUUAUAAAAUAAAAAAAAUAGAUUAUUCAUAUCUCGCAUGUUUGUUACAUCAAUUUGAAAUUCAUUUAGUGGACCCCUGGAGACCCGAUCCACACGGCUCACAUUAACUCCUACUCCUUUUACACUCUUCAAACCGGUUCAGGGUUUUCUUCCAAACCGCGGAGAAUUCUUCCAUCACGUCCUUUUAUCAAAAAAAUAAUUAUGGGUCCAGGGAAUCAACUGGUUCUUGCAUCUAUUUGUCUCUCAGGUAGAGGCACAUUAAAGUCGGAUAACUCCCAAACUUGUAUGAUCUGCUUGUAAAGUUGUUCUUUAAUUUUUUUUUUUUUUUUUUCGUUAAACUAAAAGUUCAAUUGUCAUCGUACAAUGAGUGAGAUGGCAAACGGGCAACAAACUGUGCCGCUAAGCCUUUUUGAAUGAUAAAACUAAUUCUUCUAAAGACUACAUCCGAAGAUCUAGGUAAUAUAACAUUACCAUGCAUGAUUCGUUGUAUUCGUUUAAAAAGCUCUACCGCAUCCGGUGCGAGGAAACCAAACGUAUCAAAUGCAAAUGGUAUGAACACGUGUUGAUUUUCCAUGCACGAUCUCUCAUGUUUGGUGACUUUGUUUGUGGCUGCUUUUAAAGCAGCAUGUCCCGCUGUGAAACCCCUAGCCCUCAGGCCCACGAGAGGGGAUACCCCUGUAAGAUGGACACAUGCGUGUUUCCCUCCGAUCCAUCCAAAAAUCAAAAUGUCAAUCGGUCUGAGGGUUGACCUUCCUUCUGUUGGGUCAGUCAAGAAAUUAACAAGUGCCUCUUUCUUAGCGGAAACUCCGACGCACUUAAAUAUGUCAAACAAAACAUCCCUAACCAUAUCGUGCCUGUAUUUGAACCCCGGGAGUUCUUUACAGUGAACUGCAUGCUCUCCAAAAGAGUCCAAACAUGCCUUGCGACACACAAGACAUAUCUCGUCAGCUGGGAAAAUGGGAAUCAUGAGCCGAUAUUUAAGAAUAGUACGAUACUCCACGGGAGACAUGUGUUGGCCAAGCCCAUCAAUAGGGAUAGCCAGAAGAAAAUCUUGAGCAUGUGGUGCACGUAAGCACUGAAAAACCACUUUCUGCCGAGCCGUCAUGUCGAAAUGCAUUUCCAUAUCUUGGACAAUUUUACGAAAAAUGACACUCGCCAGUGUAUUCUGGGAUUUAGGGGGGGCGGUGUCUUUAGUAGUAAAAUCAAUGUUUUAAAAACCGGUUUUUUAGUUGAACCGGUAUGAUGACCGGUUUCCGGUUCAACCGGUUCGACCACCGGGUGAACCGUUUUCUAUAUUUUUCAUGUAUUUUUUUUUUAUUUUCCUACACAUCAUACAUAUAGAAAUUAUGAAUUUGAUGUUUACAAGUUCAAACAUUAAAAAUCCAUAUAAAAAUAAGUUGUAGAUGAAUACAAAUACAUUAAAAUAACACUUAACCAUAAGUUUUAGUGUUUUACAUCAAUCCAUAUACGUCAAAAAGAAAAUAAAGUAUAAUACUGAAACGAAAUCUAGUUUUUGAUGAAUACAAACACAUCAAAAGAAUUUAUAACAUUUACCAUAUGUUUUUAUUUAGAGAAAAAUAAAUAGAUUUGAAAAAAAUCACCAAAGUUUAUUAUGUAAAUGGUUCUUUUUCAUGUGUUUUUAUUCGGUUUAACCGGUUUAUUUCGACCGGUUCAAUCGGUUUUUUCUAAAAACCGGCCGGUUCAAUCCAGUUCAGAAAUCANAUCGGUGAUAGUUGAACCGCUCCCUCUUCCGAUUCCUGGUCCAACUGGUUCGACCGGACGGUUCAAACCGGUUUUUAAAACAUUGAGUAAAAUUGUUAACAUGACAUAUAUUUUAUAAUAUAUAUACGUGACAUUUGAACGGAUAAUAAAUCAAGGGGCCCAGCAGCUAUGAUGGAAAGUGUUUUUCAUUUUUUUUCACCAAAUUUCUCUCACACUAAAAAGGAAAAAGAAGUUUAAUAGCAUAUAAUUUCAUAAUUUGCUACUGGUACGAAGUUCAUUAACGUUUACUAACACCAUAUAUUAAAAUAUUAGGUGUGAGACCCAUGUAUUAUAUGAGUUUAUUUAAAAAAAAUUAAAUAUGAAAUUUUAAUUAUUUGAAUUUAUAAGAAAAAUGAGAAAAAAAAAUUUAAAUUAUUAAAAUUAAUGAGACUUUAAUAUAUUGAAUACAUUACAUAUAUCAACCCUUUAUAAUAAUUACCUUACAUAUAUAUUACCUUACAUAUUAAAUGUGAAAUUUUAAUUUAAUAAAAUGAAAAAUACAAUGAAAUGACAAAUGAAAAAUAAAAAAUUUUAAAAUUUUAAAAAAAUGUCAUGUGUCCAAAUAAAAAAAGAAGAGUGACAUAUGGCAAAAAAAAAACUUUUAUUUAUUAGAGUAAAUUAUAAACUUGGUAAUUCACAUCCCGAUCUCUUUUAGUUGUAGAUGAUUUUCCUGCCGUGCAUAUCCUCAUAUGAUCAACUAUUUGAUUAAUUGUUUACCAUAUGAAUUUGAUUGCAUAAUGGUGAAAUAACUUUAGAAAAUUUUUAUGGAAACAAAUAUUCGAGUUUCAACAAAUCAUAGUUAUAAUAUCUCUAUAUAUUUUACUCAUAAAGGUCCAACAAAUCAUAGUUCGAUUCGGUUAAAUUCGGGUCAAUUUUUUGAAAUUAAGGAUGCUAUGCCCCAACAAUUAGUUGGAUUUAGGGUGGUGGCACAAGUAAAAAGCCAAUUGUAUUCGUGAAAAUACUCUAAAUUUUUAGUUUGAUAAGUUAAUCAUGUAAAAAAAAUAUACUUCGCCAUUUCGUAUUGGGUUAAUUUUUUCAUUAUUUUAUUAUUGAGAACUAAGAGACAUUCAAGAUAAUAAACAUUCGAUAAUAACUUUUUGCUUCUUUAAAAGCUUAUAAAUAGGUUUAACAUAAGUUUUUGGGGAAAAUGACUUAGGAGAGUAACUACCUCUUAUUGUGUUCACAUAUUGACAACUUUUUUUUUUUUUUU